rnacentral:lncRNA from 1 species
CAACACUUAAAAGAUGCGGCUGUACUAUUUAGCUAGCAAAUAUUGAAGUUUCAAAAAGUGUCGUCAUAUGAGUAUAGUCUAUUAUAUCAAACUAAUUUAUUGAAAAAUUAAUUUUAUUAUUAUUUUAAAUUUUUUGACAUUUUAAAAUGUCAGAAGCGUCAGAAUUUAUCUUACAGUAGACUAUUUUAGAACAUUUUUAAACAUCAUUCAUUAUCGUAAAAAAGCAUCAUUAAAUGUUAUUUCUUUUGUAGUGGCUUCACCAUUUGAAAAUUUUUUGACCAAAUCAAUAACAAUCUUUUGGAUAAAAGUGAGUCGAUUGAAGCUAUUGCAACUAUUCUUGAACUAUUUCAUGCUAGAUCGAUCGUUUAAGUAGAAUAGUGAGUCGAUUGAAGUUUUUUAUUAUUAUUAUUUUUUUGAAAAACAUGAUUCACUAAGAAUGUGAGACCCCAGAUAGUCCUAUAUAUAAGAUAAAAAUAGGGCUAAACUCUUAACCCGGCUUAAGCAUUUUGGGUGGUGGCUAGAUCCAAGAGGUUAAGAGAGUUAAGCGUGCUAGGACGGGAGUAGUCCUAGGAUGGGUGACCCCCUGGGAAGUCGGUGUGUCACAAAGAACUUUAAGACUUUCCUUAAUUGGACUGCGUUUUGUUAAAUAGAUAUUUUAAAUAACAUAAAUAAUUGAUAUGUGUAUAUAUCAAGAACCUAAUUGUAAUAUUGAAAGGAUAAGAUCCAAUUGUGUAAUCAAUUAUUAUUUGGAUGGUGAUAUAUAAAUAGUGGUCCUCUAAUACUGGGUUGUUCAACUCUCUUAUCUUUUUAUGUUAUGUAUCUUUGUCAUUGCUUCUUAUGUUAAUACAUGUGAUAUGAUUCAAUGAGAAUGCUAGAACCAUUUUUGGGCCAAUUUUUAUUAGAUCACUAAUCGAUUAAUGGAUACAAUAAAUAACUGACAAAGUUUAAGAACCUAGUUGUAAAUAGCAAAUGAAUAUAUUAGCACCCAGUAUAUAGUAUGCAUAGUGGUCCUCUCCCCAUGUAUAUUAUUUUGUUAUCUUUUUUGCUACUUCUUUUGUUAGUACAUGUGACAUGUUUCAGCAAGAAUGUUAAGAUUAUAUGUUCUUAAACUGAUUUGUUAUUAGUUCGAACUUCUGGCUAAUAGAAAUAUUGAAAGUAUGAAGGCCGAUUGUGCCCGUUCAAACUCACUUUUGUUAAACAAUGUGACGUAUCCAAUAAGAACUCAACCAAUCCAAAAUCUUAAGUUUCUGGGAUGUGAACUCAUCAUGCAUGCUAAUUAUUCAAUAAAAAACUUUUCGCAUAUAUAUAAAUUAAGUUCUAAUAAAUUGUGCAAUUAAAUAUUAUUUGGAUUGUGGCAUAUGUAUAUUUAUAUAUACAGUGGUCCACUCCAUAACUAUUGGAAGCUUAGAGAGAGGGUGAGGGUCAUGUGACAUCACCACCAAAAAGGUGAUGCGGAGAGAUGGUUGGGGUGUCAUCCAUCAAUCCGUUUUGCAGUUGCUAAUCUUUCAUGCCCACACACACACACACACACACACACACAUUCAUAGUUGUAGUAGUAGUAAUUAAUCUCUCUCUCUCUCUCUCUCUCUCUCUCUCUCUCUCACACACACACACACACACACACACACACANCCACAACAGGUAAAGAGUGAUAUAACAAGUUUGAACCACUACAACAUCGUGAAAAAGCAAAUGCAAAAUUCAUUUGCUUCCGAAAAGCUAAAACCGAUCAAAUUCCAAACCUUCAAGAUUAUAGUUCACAUUAUGAAACCUUAAAACUGCAUUAUCAGAUCGAAAAGUGACAAAUAAAGAUUUAUGAACUUACAAACUUCAACUUGAGCGCUAUCGUCCUCUGCGGGUAGGUCCAUCCUACGACUUACAUUUUCCACGACCUCCUGCUCAGCGAGAAUAUAUUUGAAUUUUAUGGUGCCAAAUAUCAUAACUGUUACUGUCCAAUUUUUUUUCUUUGAUCAGAUUAGCAACAACUUAGUUUUGAGGCCAUAUUAUCUCACUAAGUUCACACAGCGCAUAGAAAAAAAUUCAAAAAUUAGCAUAUAUAUAUAUAUAUAUAUAUAUAUAUAUAUAUAUAUUGUUACCAUUUUCUUUCUAGCCAUUCGUUCCGUGAAGCGACCCUUCGAUCAUCAUUUGGGUAGUUACAUGUAACAAUCUUAAUUUCUCCAUAUAUCACUCUGUGGUGUGCGCCUAUACUGUCUUGUUGCUCAAGUGUCAGCUAUCAGGGUCCUCUGUCUUGAUUCGUAAGCUGGUAAGACUCGAACAGCACAUCGUCCGUGCCUGAUGCCUGUUAUAAACGGCCGUUAUGAGAUUCGACCCCCGUUAUGUAUGGAUGUGCCAUUGAUUUUUUCUUCGAGUAACGGCUGUUGAUUUACUUUUUCUGAUGUGAAAAUUAUCCUUAAAUCAUGUGUUGUCGAAUGGCUCAAUCAAGUGAUUAAGUGGAUUUUUUUUUUUUUGGAGGGACCACAAAAGAUAGCAUGAUCAAGUUUAUGAGACUUGGAUUGAGUUGGUGCGACGUCCAAAUCGCGACGGUUCAAUAAUUGAUCAAGACGCUAUUGGAUCAUUACCCGUUACGAGCGGCCGACCGGAUUGCACAUGUCCACCAUCUCACCGGGACCGCUUUUUGAUCGGCCGCCCGAUGCGCGCCGGACGGUCGCGAUCGGCGGUCGAGAUCAAAUCAGCUUUAGGGCCAAUGCAAAGAUCCCUUUUUAUGGUGGUGGGUUUGGGCCUCACAACCUUAUCAUCUCUUUUAAGCAGGGCCUCGGAGGCGGAGUAGUGAAAUGACCAAAAUACCCCUAGCUCCUUCUCUAUUUCUGGGUUCACUUCACCAGCUACUGAGAAGGCUUAGUUACAGGCAUGUAACAAAUGAGCCUCCUCCCUAAGUCAGCAUAAUGAUACAACUGAGGUAAAUUAACAGAGUGGGUUUCAGCUGCUGAAAUGACAAAAAUACCCCUGCAUAUCUUGCCUGAUGUCCCAUUUGGUUCAUUCCACCUAAGAAAAGAUGUGCAAAUCACCUACCAUAUAUAUAUAGUUUUAAUAAAUAAUUAAAUGCACCCAAAACUUAAUGUCCCCUCUUUCAAAUCAUUGUAGAAAAUUUUAACUUUAACUAACACAAGUCACCUUUAAAUAAAGCAGUAGCUAGCUAGAAAGGGAUGUCCCUUAUCUCAAUUAAAAUAUAAAUGGGGGCUGUGUGUAUCAAUUGACCAUUUUGAGUGGGGGUCAAUUAAUUUGUAAGAGAAAAAAAAAAGAUAAAGAGAGAGAGAGAGAGAGAGAGAGAGAGAGAGAGAGAGAGAGAGAGAGAGAGAGAGUCCUCUUUUUGUGUUUUUUUUUGUUCUCUCUACUUCUAAUUGCAAAAUAUAUGUUCACUUCGGAAUAUUAUUUUAUGCAAGGAGAAAAGAGGAAAAAAGGAAAAUAAAAAAGCCAAUAAGAGAGGGGCCUUUUCUAGCUCUUCGCCCUGUUCAAGAUCACCCUCCAUUUCCAUCAUUUUUUUUUCCUCCUCCUCCUCUUACCUUUCAAUUGUAGAAGAAGAGGAAAGAGAGAGAAAAUAUAGAGAGAGAGAGAGAGAGAGGAUAUACGGAGAAGAAAAAAAGAAAACAAAGGAAAAAAAAAAAGAAAAAGAAAGGAAAGAGAGCUAAGAGAGAGAGAGAGAGAGAGAGAGAGAGGAGACAAAGAAACAAAGAGAGAGAGAGAGAGAGAGAGAGAGAGAGAGAGAGAGAGAGAGAGAUGGACUACAACUACAAGAAGAAGCUUUCAACUCCUCCCCAAGACAAUGAUGUGUUCUUUCUCUAAGAGCCCCUUCACUUUCUCUCUCUACACCCAUCACUCUUCAUCUCCUUAGGUAACAACAACAACAGCAACAACAACAACAACAACAACAACUAUAUACUCUUUCUCUCUCACCACCACCACCAUGUAGUCUUAUUUGUACAUAUGAUGAUGAUAUGAGGAAGAUACAUACAUAAACAUGCACACACACACACAUAUAUAGAUAUAUAUGGCCAAUUGUUAAUUCUCUAGUUAAUCCACCUUGUUAUUUAUUUUACAUGUUUGAUUCUGUGGUUCUCAAUUCGAUCCAUGGAUGAGGUUGUUGUUCUCUUCUUUGUGCAGCAGCAGAUACAUGUGAUUACUCUAAAUAGUAUUGGACCACCAAAAUCACCAUGAAGAGAGAGAUAGAGAUAGAAAUAGAGGAGGCAUGGGAAUAGCCACGCCGCCACCGCCGCCGCACCUAAUCAUCGGCCUGCCGAAGCCCGUUUCGUCGCUGCAGACGCCGACGACGACGAGUACUUCUAUGUCCCACGGCUUCCACCACCACCACCACCACCACCAAGGCGGCAUCUUCGGCUUCUCCUCCGAUGUCUUCGACCGUUCCACAGCACCGUCAACGACGACGACGAUACCCGGCAACGCCGGCCAGCACGAGCACGUCGCGCAGCAGAGCCGGCGGGAGAAGCUGCGGGUGCAAGAAUUCGACCCGGCUGGCGCGGCAGCCACCGGACACGCUCAGCUAGUCCCGAUAGACGACGACACUGGCGACGGAGAUGGAGAAGGCGGCGGACAAGAAGCGAGCAUGUACGCCACUGCCGCCGGAGGGGCGGGGCACGCCGCCACCGGCAGCAUGCUGUCGGAGAUGUUCAAUUUCGCAGGCGGCUGCCCGUCGGGCGCCGACUUUCUUGGAUAUCGCCAGCUGUCUGCCAUGAGGCCUGCGGCGCCGCCGAUGGCAGCCUUUGGGACCGGCGAUUGGUACGCAGGCUCGUCGAACAAGCCCCAGCAGCAGCAGCAGCAGCAGCAGGCGAUGCACCACCACCCGGCGCUCACCGCCGACUCGGCCAUGCAGCUCUUCUUGAUGAAUCCCCCUCCGCCGCCGCCACUGCUGCAUCGUCAUCAGCAUACGCGAUCUCCUUCUCCCCCUCCUCCGCCACCGCCGCCACCGCAGCCAGAGCAGCAUACGCAAACUCUCCACCACCACCAAGCCCUAAUCCAAGCAUUUGGGGACAAUUCCGCUGCUUCCUUCGGCGGCGGUCAAGGGCUGAGCCUGUCGCUGUCGUCGUCGCUGCAGCAAUUCGAAAUGGCGAAGGCGGCAGAGGAGCUGCGGGUGCGCGACGCUGCCAUGCUGUACUACAACCAGCAGCAGCAGCAGCAGCAGCAGCUUCACCACUUGCAGUUGGAAGGCCAUGGGCAGGUAUUGGGGCCGCCGCAGGCCGCGCAGCUGGGGUUCGGGCCGGCCGGGGUGGCGGCAGUGCUGCGCAGCUCCAAGUACGCGCGGGCCGCGCAGGAGCUGCUCGAAGAGUUCUGCAGCGUUGGGAGGGGCCAAUUCCGGUCGGGCCGGAUCGGACGAGGGUCCGCCGCCAAUAACCCUAACCCUAAAAGCGGCGGCAACAGCGGGGCUUCGAGCUCUGCGGCGGCGGCGGCUGCUGCAUCCACAUCGUCGUCGAAGGAGGCCCCUCCCUUGUCUCCUGCAGAGAGGUUUGAGCAGCAGAGGAAGAAGGCCAAGUUAAUCUCCAUGCUUGACGAGGCAAGUAGUACUAUAAUUACUGUUAAUUACUCUUCAACCUUUUAAUUAGUCAAUAAAUUAAAACACAUGCACCCAUCUCUCUCUCUGAUCUCUCUCUCUCUCUCUCUCUUCUCUCUCUCUCUAGCCCCACAGCUAAAUUUUUGUUUUCUAAUGUGAGGAGCCAACAAGAAUUCCGGCCGGCAAUUGCGUAGAGUUUGGGGUUGGUUGAUAUCAAGUCAUUUUAACCUGUAAUUAUUGGGAUUACUUUUUAAAGAGUAAUUUGAUGCAAUUAAUUGGAUUUAUCUAUUCUAGAAGGUGUGGGAUAUGUAUAUAAAUAUAUAGGAGUGUUAUGGUAACUCUCCCCAAAAUCUCAUUAGUUAAUGAGAGAACCCAAAAAGCAUCUCCAUUCGGAGUUAUAUCAUGCUCCAGUGGUCCACUAAUUUCUUGUUAUCCAAUAGCAUUAGUAGUAAAAUGGGUGGUUUUAAUUGUUUGCAUUCAUUUCAAAACUCAAAGAGAGAGAGAGAGAGAGAGAGAGAGAGAUUUCCAUUGCCCUUCAUAUAUAGUAACAAUUCCAAACAACAAUAACAACAAAAACAACUACUACUACUACUAGUACUAUACUACUAUAUACUACCCAGUUGGGGCUUUUUAAUUGUGUGAGUUGACCUAGCUACAACCUAUCUAUGGGAGUUGAUCCAUCCUUUUCUUGUUUUUAAAUUUAUUCAUAUGUAAGUUUUUCUUUCUUUCUUUCUUUCUUUCUUUAUUUCACACGCUCACAAAAGAAAAAGACACGUUCUGAUUAGUUUAUUUCCCACACAAUCAUUUAAUUGCUGUGAAUCUUUUGUUUUUGUUUUUUUUUUAAAAAAAAGCCCUUUUGAUGCAUUCCUACUCUCCCCAACACAUCAUCAUAUCUACACACCUAUAAAUAUAAAUGAGCUAACUGUUUUUUGGCACUAUUAGGAUCAUUCAAUUCGAUCCCCCUCACCUCUCUCUCUCUCUCUCUCUCUCUCUGUCUCUCACUUACCACCCUACAUGCAUGUUACUGCUCCUUUCAUGGAGAUUCAUGAAGGAACCUCUUCUAUGUUAACUUCCACAGUAAGUAAUUGAGCAAUCACAUACGUAAUAGCUGGGUUUCCUCUUCGACAUAUGGUUUCCUCUCCAUCUUACUAUAUAUAUAUUAAGCAACUACUCUACACUACCCACACACACACACACACAUAUGUGUGUGUGUGUGUGUGUUUGCUACAUAUAAAAAGCUUUGAUUGUGUAUAAUGAGACCUCCAAUCCUACUUUUAAUUACACCAACCAUACAUAUAUUAUAUAUAGAGAAAAAUGGUGGUUAUUUUUAUAUAUUCUUGGUUUGUUUGGUUUAUAUCUUAAAAAAUAAAAACGUCAUUUGUGUAUUAUUUUGGACUGCAACAGGUGGAGAGAAGAUACAACCACUACUGCGAGCAGAUGCAGAUGGUGGUGAACUCGUUCGACUCGGUGAUGGGGUUCGGCGCGGCGACGCCGUACACGGCGCUGGCGCAGAAGGCGAUGUCGCGGCACUUCCGGUGCCUGAAGGACGCGAUCUCCGCACAGCUGCGGCAGGCGUGCGAGCUCCUCGGGGAGAAGGACGCGGGCGGCGGCUCGGGGCUGACCAAGGGCGAGACCCCCCGCCUGCGCAUCCUCGACCAGAACCUGCGCCAGCAGCGCGCCUUCCACCACAUGGGCAUGAUGGAGCAGGAGGCCUGGCGGCCCCAGCGCGGCCUCCCCGAGCGCUCCGUCAACGUCUUGCGCGCUUGGCUCUUCGAGCACUUCCUCCACCCGUAUGUAUAUUUACACACACACUCACUCUUCCCUUCCCUCUCCAACUACGUAACUUCGUUUAAUUCUCUCAUUCUUAAUUUCUUUUUAUAUAAAUACAUAUACAUGCAUACAUAUAUGUACGUCGUAUACACUUCAAUUUGCAUGCAUGGUAGAGCAAUGUGGCUCUUCAUGUACAUAUAUAUAUACACACACUAGGGUAAAGUGGUAGGGAUAAAUAUAUGUCCCUGUAUAUAUAUGUAUGGUUGGACCCUGCACUACUUUUCAUUUGCUCAUUUUAGUAGUCCCUUGACUUUGAAAUUUCUUUUUUUUUUUCUUACAUAGAAAAAAAAAGAUAAUCUUAACUUCUAUUGAUAAAGAUUCUUUUAAUUAACCAAUAAUUCUUAAUUAGAUUAUGGUAACGUUAGGCAUUUCAUAGGAAAAAAAUUUAAAGUAGUCAGGUAAUAGGGGAGAGUGCAAGGAGAACAUAUAUAUGCAUACAUUUUAUUCUCAAUACAAUCCAUUUGGAUGCAAAAAAUGUUUUCUUUUUCCAUGUAAAAUACUUACUCCACGGUUUAUAUACAUUUUUUUUUCCAUGUAAAGUACUUACUCCACGGUUUAUAUACUUACAUUGGUGUACGUGACAAAAUUUUCUUAGUUAUUUUUGCCAAAAAUAUAUAAAUUGAGAAAUUUUACUGGUACAAAGUAUAAGCAUUUUCUCUCUAGUCUUAUUAUUUUUUUUUAUAUUAGACACCUAAAAGAGUUUUUAAAUUCUUGGAUGAAUGAGUGUGAAAUUUACACCGUAUUUUUUGCUACACGAGCUACAUUUUUAUUAUAACUAAAUUAUAUUAUUCUUUUCCUAACAACUUACUAAUGAAUGUAUAUGCUAGUACACUUGUUAUUGAAUCUAUGAGUAAAUAUACCUUGCAUUGUUCCUAUUUAUAUAUAUAUAUAUAUAUAUAUAUAUAUAUAGAGUGAGGCUACUAUGCUAUCGGAAGCACGGAGCCUUUCGUGCUUCCAGCUCGUUUUCGAUGUUGCGACUUUCGAAUCGUCGAUCGGCUCCGUUAAACUUGAUCUAGAGUAUUUGGAGUUCCUAGAAAAUAAAUUUAUUAUUUUUCGAUAUCGUUUGCCUAGUAAUCGAAUAGGCUCAAAAUCAACAAAUUUCAAUAGCCGUAGUGAGCCGUUUGCAAGUUUAAUGGUGUAAAAAUAUCCAAAUCACAUGAAAAUUUUGAUAGAAAAUUCUUUAUACUAUAUUAAACAAGAUCAAUAUCUUUGAUUUAAAAUUUUAAUGUCAUAAUUAUCACGUUUUGUAAGAUUUUUAUUUCAGCCGUUGAUUUUGAGCGCCCUUAGUUUACUAGGCAAAUGAUAUCGAAAAUUGUAAAUUAUUUUCUUAAAUACUUCAAAUACUCUAGAUCAAGUUUAACGGAGCCGAUCAAGAUUUGAAAGUUGCAACCAGUCAAAAACGAUCUGAAAGCACGGAAGGUCCGUGCUUCCAGAAGCAAGUAGCCUCACUCUCUCAUCUCCUCUCUCUCUCUCUCUCUCUAUAUAUAUAUAUAUAUAUAUAUAUAUAUAUAUGUAUAAAUAUAUAUAUAUAUAUAUCCAUUUGGAUUUUUGGACACAUCUCUCAUUAUUGGUACUACACCCAUUAACUGCAUGCAUGCUUUUUCCCCCCCUUUCUUUCUCGAUUUUGUUGUGCUUUUGGUAAAGCUUGUCUAAAUUCUUCGAGAUCUACGCUUACUGUGGUUAUGCAGUAAUUCUUGGCUUUUUUUCACUGCUGUUCUGAUGCACUGCUUUUUCAUUAAUACAUAUGCUUUUUAUGCACACAUAUAUAAAUAUAUAGCUAUAUACAUUCUUCAUGUUUUACUUAAUAUUGUUUGACUUUAAUAGAUAUGUAUAUAUAUAUAUAUAAGCCCCAGAGAACUAAUGCUGGCCUGGGUGAAAAGCUGAUAAAAAAAAAAAGGAAAAAAUUUUACUAGCUGCAAGUGUUUACUCUACUUUUUAAUUUGAAUGAUGAUUGCAACAGCAUUAGCAUUAUGUAGUAAAAUGAUUAGCACUUUUAUGUAAUCUGUGAUUACUUUUCCUCUAAAGAUUCAGCCCCCUGCAUUUGUCCUUGGGCAUUGUCUUUACACCAAAAAAAGCUGAGGAAAAGCUUCUCUCUUUGUUUCAUUAAUUCCCUUUUACAAGGAUAUGCCACAUGCCACAACAACAACCAUAACAUUCUCUUUCCCCCUUUUUCCUUUUUUUUUUUUUUGUUUUGUUUUUGACUGGUGAUAGGAGAUUCCACAACCCAAGGACAACAACAAGAAGAACCAUAACAUUCAAACUUCACUUAAUUGUUAUAGCUUAUGUAUUUGGGUAUGUUUCUACUGAGUACUUGAAGAAUACUCGUUAAGAUCUAUUAAAUAUAAUUAUUAAGAUAAUUCAAAAGGCAUGAGUAAGUGUAUCUCCUCACACCAAUUCAUGAGAUAGUUAUUACUCUCAUACCCUAGUUAAUGUCUAAAUGAGUUUUCCUCAAGGCACUCAUUAGGGGGAAAAAAAUCUAUGAAUUUUGCCUUUUGAAAUUUCCCUUUAUUUAGAAAAAAAAAAGAAAUAUGGCAAAAAAAUUUCUUGUUGUAGUUAAAUUGUGAUGGAAAGUAGGACCCUUCUUUUGUUUUUUUUUUUUGGUAACCAUGCAUGGAGAUUGUCAAAACUAUAUAAGUCAUUUUCAAAUAGGCAUUGAAGUUUUUAAAAAAUUGUAUUAUGAUGUUGAACAUUUUUAAAUUCUAAUUUACUAUUUUACUACUGCUACAAAAAAAUUAUUAUUGAGCAAUUCUUCCUCUACAACUACCUUUGAUUGUAAUACUACAACACCCUCAUCCAAAGGCCAUAAAUUUUACACUAGUCUUAAUUACCAAUCUAUUUUUUAUUUUAUUUUUUUAAUACUGAAAGCAUACAAAGAGUUGACUAAGCCCGAAAUGAGUUGUAGACCAAGUAUCUCUCAUUAUUAUUUGCACCAAGUGCAUGUUUCUCAACACCUGGGGGCCACGUUAUCAUCUGAUAUCUAUUUCGUUUCAUACUUCAAUAUCUACUCCUCAUCUUGCUGCACCUUUUCUCUAUGUAAGUUUUGGAAGGUUUGAUACAAAGUACAGAAUGAGAUUGAGGGAAGACAAUAUUGUGCAGUACAGAUGUGUGCAAAUGCAUUGAGUUGUCGCAAAUAUUUUGCAUUAUUACGGGAUAUAGGUACAUAGCGAAAUCAAAAUUUCAUGAAGGUUAGGUACUGAAAUUCAAACUUUCAAAACUAAGGUACACUUGUUUCAAACGGUGUAUAUUAAGAUCAGUUUACUUACCUCCUUAAAUAUUAUUAUCAUUAUUUUAAGAUCUUGUGGCCUAGGUUUAAUCUUAGAUUCUCUUCUUUUUUUUUUCUUUUUUUUUUUUUGGUGGGUGUUCUGAUCACUCUGGCUACAUAUAUAUUAAUUUUUCAGGUAUCCAAGUGAUGCAGAUAAGCAUUUCCUGGCAAGGCAGACCGGCUUAUCCAGAAAUCAGGUGUGUCCUCUUCUCCCCACCACUCCUAUUAAAAAAAAAAACAAAACAAAACAAAACAAAAAAGCAAAAAGAUAUAAAAAAAAAAACUCUUUAUAUAUAUAUUUUUUUAUAUUAAUUGUUGCCUAAAAGUGUAGCUCUGCAUGGAAUUUUUAAUUUGCUUCCUAUCCCAGUAUUGUUUCAUCACCACCUCUCCUACUUUUUUUGCCUGAAAUUAAAUGCACAUGAUCUUCAACUGCACCCAAUACAACAGUAGUUAAUGUAGUGUGUUGGUGUGUUAAUUACAACCUAGACAUGGAGAUCUCACUUGUUUGAAUCAUUUAAUUCCUUACUUUGAUCAUCUUUACUUCCUACUGGAGUUUUAAUUGCUCUCUAUUUUUUUCUUCAUCUUUCCAUCUGCACAAAUAAAUCUAUUGUAGUUCAUGUUUUCAUUUGCAUCAGGCAUCAUUACACUAUACUAUACUGUAUUUUACAGCUUUUCUUCACUUUUCAAAUGCGCCACUAAACUAAACAAUUUUUUUUUUCCCAUGCCAACAUUAUAAACAAUAAAUCUAUAAUUUUGUAUAAAAGCUAUUAAAAAAUUUUGGUUAAAAAUAACAGAACACAUAUUUAGCUCAAUUUGACAUAAAAAAUAAUAAAAUAUAUAAAAAUAAUAAAAAAUAAUUGAAAAUAAGUUGAUGGAAAGUUUUCAAUGGGUCUAUUAUUGAAAUUCAUUUUAUAUUUUUUAAAUUAUACAACCAAUGCCUCUUAAUAUAGUUGUUAGAUUUUUUGUAAAGCAAUAUAUUUGUUAACAGUAAUAUAGAUAUUGGGGAGAAACAAAGUAGCUUAGUGAUAUAAUAGUACAAUGGUAUUUUUGAAAAAAAAAAAAGUAAAAUAUACCAAAUAAAACUAACACUAAAGUACAAUGCAGUAGAGUGUAAUUAAGCCUUUACAUUAUUUCAUUCCCCCUUCUUAAUUUGAACAAGUAGCUAGUCCAAAACCAAUAAUAAUAAUAAUAAUUAAGAAUUAACCAAAGAGAAAAAGAGAAUUAAAAGACAAGUUGUGUAGUGCAUGCUUAUUUCUUUUUUAUAUAUUUUUCCCUCCUCUUUCAUUAAUUGUUUUCAUCUCAAGUACUUUUGCGUUUCUCCUAGGAGCAUAUUUGUGCAAGCAUGCAGUAGAGGUCGUGGUUUAUGGAAAAAGAGUUUACUAUUAUUAUUACUAUUAUUUUUUUAUUUUUUUUUAUUUUCUAUGCACUUUGACUGGAGGAGUUUGCCCUUUCUUAUAGACCAGCAUCACGACACCCAGCAUUGAAUUGCAUCGUUACAAUUGUUGCAUGCAGUGCAUGUCCCAUCUCUCUCUCUCUCUCUCUCUCUCUCUCUCUCUCUCUCUCUCUCUCUCUCUCNCUCUCUCUCUCUCUCUCUCUCUCUCUCUCUCUCUCUCUCUCUCUCUCUCUCUCCCUCCUCAUGUCGCAUUGUUUACGAUGCAUGAAUUGCAUGGUACUUUUACCACAUUUAACGCGCGCGUAUAGACAACAAACCAACGUUAAUUGACCACUCCACGUACCAAAGAAAUGAGCCCACAACACCUGCACCACUCUUGUUUUUUCAUCUUUUUAAAAUGUUCUUAUUAUUUUACUUUUAAUUUAUUUUUUUGGUUGUUGCAGGUGUCCAAUUGGUUCAUCAAUGCAAGAGUCCGGCUAUGGAAGCCCAUGGUGGAGGAGAUGUACCAGCAAGAAGCCAAGGACCAUGACGACGACGACGAAGACGACGAAGCCGCCGCUGCCGCCGCCGCCGCCGAUGCAGCAUCGUCGCUUUCCCCCCCCUCCUCCUCCGGCGUAGGCGGUGCGCCUCCAAAAUCCGAACCGCACCCUGGCGGGCCCCCCGCCCCCGGCCCGCAGAACGCGCCGCAGGCGCCCCCGCAGCUGUCGACAUCCUCCGCCGUCGCGGACAUGGCGCACGCGGGAUUGUACAGCGGCCGGUAUGCUGCGGCGGCGGCGGCGACGCACGCUUUGAGAUUCGGGGCGGCGGGCGACGUGUCGCUGACGCUGGGGCUGCGGCACGGGGCGGCGGGCAGUGGAGGGAGCGGCGCAGGGGUCGGCGGCAGCGAUGGCGGCGGCGGAGGCCGAUUCGGAGCCGUUAGAGAAUUUGGCGGUUGAUUGGCAGUUAAGUUAGUUAGUUAGUUCGUUAGUUAGGGUUUUUUACUGGGAGGUGAUGGGGGGGAACAUUAAUAGUUACUUAGCUAAUUAUUAGGGUUUCAGAUCAUGAUCAUAGUGACACUAGCUAGGAUUUAUGGUACAGGUAAAUUUAAAAAGAAAAAAGAAAAAAAAAGAAAAAAAAAGAGGAGGAUUAAUUAAGAAAGAAAUUGAUGACAGAGAUGAAAUAUUUUGUCUUUUAAUUUUAACAAUUUUAAAUUUUUAUAGCCUUUUGUUAGAGGUACAAUUUUAAUUUGUAGUGGGUAUGACUAUAUAUAUAUAUAUAUAUAGAUAAAAUAUAUAUUUGCAGGGAAUUAAUUAGUUGUUAAGAAACAUACAAGUGUUCUACGCACACUCUCUCUCUCUCUCUCUCUCUCUCUCUCUCUCUCUCUCUCUCUCUCUCUCUCCUCGUACGGACAAAUUAAGGGUUACAAAAACUAAGGAAAGAGCUUUGCACCUCUUUCUCUCUCUUUCNGGAUAUAUAUAUAUAUUUUGAAGUAAUUAAUUUAGCAUGAGUAUCAUCAUCCAUCGACCUGAUUAAUUGAUUGCUGAUCACUGUUUUGAUAUUGCUGCUGUUUUUUUGUUUGUUUUUAAUAUAUAUUUUUUUGCUAAAUAAAUUCUGUAUAUAUAUAUAUAACAAUUUUAUUUUAAAAAAAUUAUAAAAAAAUAAUUUUCUCCCAAAAAAUGAUUAAUUGUCUUACAUAAUUUAAUAUGAUAUAAGAAUAAGAUUUCUUAAGUUUUAGUCACUACAACAGAAUUAGGUUAUAGGGACACAUGUUUGGGACACUUUUGAGUAAGUGUCCCAUUUAUGCUAAAACUUAAAAACACAUCUACUAAUGCCUAAAUAUAAAGUCCAAUCCAAUCAAAAAUAAAAGAUUACUCUACUCAACCCACCAUACCUAGUCCAUUUGGCCCGAUUACAAACAGAAAAGAAAAAAAAAAAGAAAAAUCAAUUACCAUCUCUUCUUCUCUCUUCACUCAAUCUACUGAAAUUCUAGACGAAGAGUCUUUACUGUCGUCCUUCUCCGCCACCGCAGCCAAUGAGAUAGAGUUUCGGCAGUUGCUAAAUGCUUAAAUAAGUGUUGGUAAAUUAGCAGCACUCUUUUAGGUUAUAGCGACACUCUUUAACUGUCACUAUAUACCCAGCGACCCCACAUAUAGCAACACUUUUUAAAAGUGUCGGUAAUUUUAGCUAACAGCACUAUUUUGAUAUGUACCUACAUUUAAAAGUGUCGCUAUAGACCGUUUUUGUUGUAGUGAGUUCUGCUAUGCUUCUAAUAUUAUUAUUAUUUUUUUAUUUAAUUCAAGUCCAUUUCUUAGGCUAGACACGAGGGGUUCGUGAAUGUAAUUAAGAUUUAAAAUUAUCAUUUUCUCGCAGCUUAAACUAUUGAUGAACAACGGAUGGCAAGGAGAUUAAGUUUGAUUAUAUAUAAUUAAACUACCUAAAGGGACCCUUUGCGAGGAAGCUAAAUCUAUUUCAUGUAGAAAAUUUAUGCAUAUAACAAGUUUAUCUUUCAAUACAAACUACAAUUAUUUCUACUAAUAACCAAUGUUUUAAAAACCGGUUACUUUGAGCCGACUGUUAAUUUUGACCUAUUCGAUCUUGAUCCAGUUAAUAAAAUAGUUCACUUCAAUGUUUCGACCCGGAUAAGCCAAAAACCCAUUUUGAACUGUUUGAAUCGGCAGUUCAACCAGCGAAUUAACCAAUCUGGCUCCAAACAAGCUUGCUGGUUUUUUUUUUAUUUUUUUUUCAUUAGAGUAAUUUUUAAUUUAAAUAUGAUUGAUUUUUAUUUUUGUUGAUUUUAUUUUCUAUUGUGACAAGUGCAACUUGAAAUUUUGUAUCUCCUAAAUUUAGUCUAAAAAUCAGAAUUUUAAAGUAAAUAUGAUACUUGAAUAAUAAUAUAAAGAUAUUUUUUAUACAAUAAAAUUUAAAAAUAAUUAAAUAUUUAUAACAUUAUUUUGAUAUGAAUUACUGGUGGAACCAAUAAUCAUUAAUAACCAAGUAAGAUUAAUUUUUGUUGUUGUUGUUGUUGUUGUUGUUUUUUUUUUUUUCCUCUCAGUUUUGGGCCUUUAGGGAUCAAUCAGCAACACACAUGGCAUAUGUUAAUUGGGGGAAGCUGGAGCUGAUGAUUGAGGAAUUAAUGCCAGAAAUGGUGGUUGAUUGCUGAAGGAAAAAUUACAGGGGAAUGUGAUUGAUUGCAAGUCAAUUAAUGGCACACCAAAUGGGCUGUGUAUCACUGUCCCAUAGCUAACUUUUUAUGCUGUUUCAUUAGGGGACCAUUGACAUUUCUCUCUCUCUCUCUCUCUCUCUCUCUCUCUCUCUAUAUAUAUAUAUAUUGGAGUUUCGUUACUAUAUUGUACUUUUACGAGUACGAUUGUCUUAAUGCUUGUAAGUUAUUUUUUAUGAUAGAAUUUUUGAAUCGAUAAUUCCUAUCGUUAAAUAUAUAUAUAUAUAUAUAUAUAUAUAUAUAUAUAUAUAUAUAUUGAUGUUCACAAAAUUCACAUUGAUUUUCUCUUAUUUUGAUCUUUUCUAAAAAAGUUGUUGUGUACUAGUAAAAUAUAUAUAUAGAGAGAGAGAGAGCUAGGCUGGUAUACUAUCGGUAGUAUGGAGACCUCCGUGCUGCGAAAUUAUUUUCAAUUAUGCGGCUAGCAAAUCGACGAUCGGCUCCAUUAGAUUUGAUCUACAUUAUUGAAAGUAUUUGGAAACUAAAUUUAUAAUUUUUCGAUAUCAUUUGGCUAGUGAUCAAAAGGUCUCAAAAUUGACAAUUUUAAUGGUAGAUGUAAUACGUUUGUGGGUUUAACGGUGUAAAACAAUCUAAAUCUGAUGAACCUUUUAUAGAAAUUUAUUUUUACUAUUUAGAGUAAGAUCGAUACCUCUGAUCUUAAAUUCAAGUUUUUUAUUAUUAUUUUUUAUGAGAUUUUUAUUUUCAGCUCUUCAUUUUUAAACUACUUGUUUGAUAUAUAAAUGAUACCGAAAAAUUAUGAAAUUUAGUUUUCAAAUAUUUUCAAUAGUGUAGAUCAAGUCUAACGGAGCCGAUCGUCGAUUUGGAAGCCGCAUCAUUGAAAACAAUUUGGUAACACGGAGGCCUCCGUGCUACCGAUAGUAUAUCAGCCUAGCUCUCUCUCUCUCUCUCUCUCUCUCUCUCUCUCUCUCUCUCUCUCUCUCUCGUAAAAAACAAAUAAAAAAAGAAAAAGGGCAUGUUAAUACUGGUUUCUUUUGUUUUUCUUAAUUAGGAUUUUGUUAAUUUGUUUUGCAGCAAAAUUACAAUUUGGAGAUAAAGGGACUUGGUGAGAACAUGUUUGACUAGAGUAAUUUUAAAAGGUAUUUUCUUUUAGAAAAGUACUUUAAUUAGUUAUUCUUUUUAGUUAAUUAGUUAGGGGAUCAAUAGCAGAUUAAAGAAUUGAAGCACAUAAAAAGGAAUUCAACUAAUAUCUCUAUGGUCUUGUUUGGAUGCAUGACCAUCUUGUUCCGCACAUAUCUUUAAUUUACUUAGAAAGUUUGCUGUAUUUUUUAGAUGAGGAGUGCAAUAUUCCACUGUGCAGAUUGUUAUACCGUAUUCGGAUUUCAAUUUAUUAUCUCUAAUUGUCAGCGAAAUAUAUAUGAUAUCCUACCAAAUCAUAAAUCCCAAGGCCUUUCGUUAACGAGCAACAAUUAAACUACUCACUUUCAGUCACACCAAAAAAGUUUCAUAUCGAGUAAUUGUUUUAUUGAAUAUAAGUAAGUUAUUCUUGUAUAAUAUAAAAAUGCCAUAUUCAGUCUAAGAUAACAUACCAUAUAUAUUCAAUCUCCACAGGUCGUUUACUCCUAAUAUGUAAUAUAAAAAUCUCCUCACAAGUGAAAUAUGAUAAACUUUUAAAUCAUGGAUGCUGAGAUAUUUUCAGGAUCAAAAACCAAAACUUGUAGCUUCCAAAAUAACAACAAAUUUUUAUACCGAAUAAUUUAUCACUGCAUAACUUAUUCUAACGUCCAAGUAUGACCAAAAGGAGUCCAGGAUGACACAUAUGUUGGCUUAAAUGAGCCAGCAUUUUGCCUUGUGGCGGGAGGUCAUAUUGGGCUGAGUCAUGUUCGAAAUGGCAUGAGACUGGAUGGGCCGAGUCAUGUUCGAAGUGACGUGAGACUGAUUGGACCGAGUCAUAAUCGAGAUCCGUGGGUGCUGUAUCUAUACGCUUUAAGCGAAUUAGUUGCGUAUUUUUUCCUAGAGAGAUAUUGGUUGCGUAGCUCGAGCUUUUGGGAUUAAUAGUUAGCGCCAACGAUCUGACAACAUAUACCAUAUUCAAUCUCAAAAAUUCGUUUUAUCUGUAUAAGAUAAAUUUACUCAUAAUAAGUGAAAUCUGUUAUUCUACCAAAUCAUGGAUAGAAAAAUAUUUUAAAGAGAUAAAAUCAAACUCGUAACUUUCAAUGACAACCGCGAAUCUUUUUAUCGAGCAAACUAGUACUGAAUAACUUGUUCCGGCAUCCAAACAGGAUCUACAGGCACUUCGAAUGUCGAAAAUCUUUAUAUUGAGCAAGGCCUAAUGGGCCCAUUCAAGCGCUCAAAAAGGCCCAAGGCCUAUGGAAGCCGGAGGAGGAUAGACAUGUGGGGCCCACGACAUCCAAAGAUGAGGACUUGGCUCUGCCACGUCGGAUUAUACGAUAAUUAAAAUUUCACUUAUAUAAAUAUAUUUUUUUGAUAAAUACAACGUUCUCCUAGAAAAAUAGCGGAAAAAAAUAAUAUUUAAUAAUUUUAAAAAAAAAUUCGAAAAAUGGAGCUUUUUUCUCUGCAAUUUUUGACUCCUCCUCUGAGACUGAGAAGAGCUUCUUUGUGUUUGGUGGGAAGAGGCGAAGUUCAUAAACCCAACUCGCUUUUCGGGGAAGCUGUGGCUUUUCCGCGCAGAAGCACGAGGUGCCCAGAUGGGAAAAAUCAUAGCUUUUUCCAUUCAAAUUCUGGUAUUUUCUCCAUUUUUGGGUCUUUUUAUGUAAUAGGUGUUCAUCAAUUUCUAAUUUUUAGAUGAUGUGCAUUUUGGCAUGUUUUACCUGUGAUUUGGUUCUCCUUUCCCAUUUUCUAGGGAUUGGUGUGUUGCCUUUAUUAGUAGCAGCAAUUUUGGUAUGUUAUGCCAAACUGUUAUACUAUAAAAAGUUUGGAGCUUUUGCUGCGGCGAAAAGUAAAAAUGAGAUUUUUAAUGACCAGUGUUUAGUUCUGCUUCUGCUUCUAACUAUCAACUAAGAUCGGGGCCUCAAAAGCAGCAGCUCUAAUUUAAAUUUAAAUUAUAAAGAUACAGAGAGAAAUUUGAUGCAGUGCCUCUUUUUAUGUACUUCUCUAGCUAACAGUACUUCAUCAAACAAACAGUAGUAUGCCAAUGCCAAAGUGUAAGGCCAAAUAUGUCCAGAAGGUCCAAAAGCAGAAGCUCUCAUUUCACUUUGUCACCUGUGUUAUUGUUAUUAAGAAAUCUCACUUGCUAUUCUAUUUGACAGUAGAUUUUUUGGAUACAAAUUGAGAUGAAACUGCAGGAUAGUCAAAUUAAAGCUUACCUAUAUCUUAGAUCUAGGAUAUGUUAGCUUAAAAAAAUAAUAAUAAUAAUUAAGUUGGAUAAUUCUUACUGAUAUCAAGUAUUCAGAACUGCCAAUGUGGUCAGAAACAAAUUGAUCAUGGCAGCAGGACACCUAGUUAGGGCUUUUGCGAGUAACGAUCGAUGUAUAGAUAGCACGCGCGAAGUUAUUCUGAGACGCGCGAAUCAAAUGACACUGUUCACCCCCGUAGGAUAAGCAAGGUCUCCAUGCCAUAGCCAGAUCAAGUGUUUGAACAAACGACGUAGCGCAUCAGUACUAGCGUGUUGUAUUGGCCUAAAGUGCUAUUACAGUUAUACAGAUGUCUUAGAUAUUGCACAUAAUUUUGUCAUAGAAAAGCGUCGAGGCGCAUAUUUUGAACCUUGCUUUGAAUUACACGUAUCGUACCUAAUAUCGUCGCGCUCCCAAAUUUCUUCCAUAGCAUCUGUGAAAGCAUCAUCUGGAUCCACGCUGCCGAGCACGUCAGCAGCAACUAAACAGGAAAUGAGUUCGAAAGAAAAAGAAGUCGUAUUUGUUGCUGGUUCCACUGGCAGAGUAGGUUCGCGGACUGUAAGGUCGCAGAAUCUUACUCCCCUCAUCUUUUAAGUCUCAAGUGGUGAAUGCAUCUAUUCUGUUAGUUUGCUGAACGGUUCAAUUUUCGCCAGAGAGCUUAUUAGACUUGGUUUUCGAGUCCGAGCCGGCGUCAGAAGUUCUCAGAGAGCGGAGCCCCUCGUGCAAGUGAGAGAUCAAAGCUUUUCAAAUUGUCGCCUUUAAUUAGGCGCCAAAAUUGUACUAAUGUUAUCUAUUGUUUCGUGUUUUGCAGAGCGUUCGAAAUAUGAAUUUAGAUUCAGGAACCCCACGUAAGAUUUGCAGUGUUGUUCGUUUGCUCUAGUCGUAUUUGCUUCGUACCGUCAAUAACAUAAAGUAUUUUUGGUAUCUAGACCAGCUGUAGAAAAGCUUGAAAUUGUCGAAUGCGACUUGGAAAACGAAGGUGGGAUAGUACCAGCUAUAGCCAAUGCUUCCGUAGUUAUAUGCUGCAUUGGAGCUAGUGAAAAGGAGGUUUUUGAUGUAACAGGACCGUAUCGCAUCGAUUAUAAGGCUACAAAGAACCUUAUUGAUGCAGGUAAAAUAAAGAUUGUAUAUGCAUAGCUACUUGAUUUCCUGCUACAAUUCAGUGAGAUAAAUUAUGAAAUCGCUGCGCCACUAAAUACUAGCUCGUAUUCGCAAUGCGUCGUAUUCUCGCCUGUUUUCUUACCCCUUUUCUUUUGUGCAGCAACUACCGCAAAAGUCGAUCACUUCAUUUUGCUUACAUCCUUGGGGACGAGCAAGAUCGGCUUUCCUGCAGCCAUUUUGAAGUAAGUGCCAUUUAAGAGCAUUAUUUUGAAGAAAAAACUUGUUAGAAACUACCGUAUUAGCAUGAUGAAUUUUACUGGAAAGAUCUACUUUUUGCGGUAACAAGAAUUUUUGUUCCUUAUUAUCACUAUGUUAUGUUAUAUUAUAGCUUGUUUUGGGGAGUUCUGAUUUGGAAAAGAAAAGCCGAAGAAGCGCUAAUUGCGAGUGGUCUUCCUUUCACAGUAUGUGGUAACAUAGCAUAUUCUGCGAUAAAAUUCGUAUUUCAAAUCAUGCAUAUCGGAGGUUCUUUCGACUGUUCUAACUUCGGUUGUAUAUUUUCUUUGAUAUUCAGAUAGUAAGACCUGGAGGAAUGGAGCGGCCAACGGAUUCUUAUAAGGAAACCCACAACCUCGUACUUGCAGACGAGGACACCUUUUUCGGUGGUCAAGUCUCAAACCUUCAGGUUCACUCUUUUGAUCCCAUUCAAUCCGUGUUAAGGUGCAAUAACGGUAUUUACGAGGUUUAGAGUGCGAGGAUUAUAACAUCAGGUUGCGGAGCUCAUGGCGUGUAUGGCGAAAAAUAGACGGCUAUCAUUCUGUAAAGUGGUCGAAGUGAUUGCUGAGACGACUGCGCCGCUACUACCGAUGGAAGAGCUUCUUGCCAAAAUUCCUUCGAAACGGGUCGGUAUCUUACUCAAACCCUUUCUGCCCGUCAGACAAAAUAGGAACAACUUAAUAAUUUGGUUAAUUUGCUGUUUGUUUUUGAGUAGGACAAUGUCUAUUCAUGUAAAUUCGUCUGCUGUUCUGCGCUUUUCUCAUAAAACGCUUCGUUUUGUAUGUCAGGCGCUGCCAGCUGAACUGGAGCUGAAUUUUGCGCUUUCUUCUGCCGAAGAGAUUGUCAAGGAGAAGCCUAAGGACAGGCCGCUGUCUCCUUAUACGGUGUAUGUCGCUUUCCAACAAUAUAUGUCUGAAACUAUAUAAACCUCAACAAAAAGGAUGAAAAUAAAAAUUGCGCGCAACAAUUUCGUAUUUGCAGGUACGAUGAUCUAAAGCCGCCGACCUCUCCUACGCCUACUAAACCAAGCACGUCAGCUGCGCACGAUCCAGGCUAUAAAGCAAAGCCUCUCUCUCCGUAUACAGCGUAAGCAACACUGUUUAAAAAGAUUGAUCUCUAAAACACAAUUCAGUUGCUGUAUAUAUGUUACUUCUUUUUACGCUUCAUUUUGUCGUGAAAAUUGUUGCUGUUAUCAGACAAGACGGUUUGAAGCCGCCUUCAUCACCGUCUCCUCCCAACUCACCUUCUACCGCGGAUGGCAGUCCUCAGACUAUAACUGCGAAAGAGUCAGAGCCUGCAAAACAGCGGCCUCUCUCGCCGUACACCAUGUAAUACUUCUCGAUCGGUUUUUUUAUAGAGAGAUCUUGCUGCUGCUUUUAAUUUCGUCUCUUAAUGUUCGGAAACAUUCGAUGUUGCGAGCAGGUACGAGGAUUUGAAGCCGCCAUCAUCGCCAGUGCCGUCUGUGCCAAAGUUCUAGUCCAGAUGCAGAUCACCGGCGUGUGCCAUGCGAGAAAUCGGAAUUCAAAAUCGGAAUUCACAGGAUAGAUGUUGGUAAUAUAUAAAUAUAUACAUGUAUGGUCUGUAAAAUUUCGAACAUAACAGCGAGAUUGCUCACGAAUGCUUGGGGAAAAAUUGUUACAUGUUUCAUUGUAAAAGUAUUUUAUUUAAAUUUAAAUAUAUGUUUUGUUUUUUUUUUUUACGGAAAUUUCAUUGUAGUAGUCCAACCUGGUUAGGAAUAUUAGGGGUGGGAACAAGCCGAGCUUGAGCCGAGCCUAUCUUAGCUCAAGCUUGGCUUGAGAUUAAUUUCAAGCAUAAAUUUAAGGUCAAGCUCGGCAUGAAAUUAAUUCGAGCCGACUUUGAGCGAGCCUAAUUUCGACUUGACUGAGCUCGAGUUCCAAACGAGCCACUUGAAAUUUUUAACAUCAUACAAUCUAUAGACUGUAGUUAUAUAUAUAUAUAUAUAUAUAUAUAUAUAUAUUAUGGUCAUGUCAAAAACACCAACAAAUCUCAAUCCUUGCCCCAUUAGAAUGGUGUAUCUUCUUCCUACACUUCUCUCUAAAUCAUGUAGGCUGAGGGGGGCCAUGGCCCCCCUCAACUUUUAAAAUGUUCAUUUGUGGUUCUUAUAUUGCUAAGACUUAAAAGAUAAGAAGUUAUAGUUAAACAAAUAUUAUAAUAGUGGCCUAUAUGAAAAGUUCUUUAGUGUGUCAUGAGGCACAACAUGAACGGCAGAGAGUCAAUCACCACAGAAAAAAGAAAAAAUGAAAUUGCUUGCACCUAAUACACCAUACAUCAUACUCGACGAGAUUCGGAGUAUGUAUAUAUUACAAAUUAAAAUUUAUCCUGUAAAUGUAAUCUGCUUCAUUUGAAAGGUUUUUAUAUGAAAAGUUAUAAAUUAAAAAUUAUAAAUUUUGAGCAUAUAUUAGUUAUCUAGUAGUUCUAAAAAAAACAGCAGUGUAAAAAACUAUAUAUAUAUAUAUAUAUAUAUAUAUAUAGUAGGUCUUGUGUGUUAUUAGGAGCACGGAGGCCUCUGUGCUCCUAAGCCAUUUUUGAUGAUCGGUUUUCGAAUCGACGAUCAGCUCCGUUAGACUUGAUCUAACAUAUUUGAAGUAUCUAGAAAAUAAAUUUUACGAUUUUUCGAUAUUAUUUACCUAGCAAUCAAAAGAAUUCAAAAUCAAUAAUUUUUAAAUUAUUUUCUAGAAACUUCAAAUACGCUAGAUUAAGUUUAACGAAGCCGAUCGUCGAUUUGAAAAUUUCAUCAUCGAAUUGAAAAUUCCAUCAUCGAAAACAGCUCAGGAGUACGGAGGCCUCCGUACUCCUGAGAGCACAGCAAUCCUGAUAUAUAUAUAUAUAUAUAUAUAUAUUACACUAUAAAAUGUAGAUAUCUAAAAAUUAUAGCUUUUGGCCCCUCUACGAUUUGAAUUCUGGCUUCGUCCCUCUCUCUCUUCUUCCUCUUAUAAUCAUCAUUUAGUAAUGUAAUAUUUUAUAUAAUAAUGAAACUUAUAAUAUGUGAUAUGUAUUAUUAUAAUUUAAAUGAGCAUGUAAUGGCUUUUCGAAAGACAUGAAGCCAAUUGGUUGGAGAAUCUUUGCCUUUCUCUCUGUCCUCUAGCUUAGGUGUUGAACCCCUCCCUCAUAUUCCUCUCCCUUAACCUAAAAUUUUAAUUUAAAUGCUAAUAAUUAACUUUUCUAUGAUCAUUAAUAAUUUAUUCAUCAUGCUUGUCAUAUAUUUAUUGUAACAAAUUAGUAUUAUUAUUAUUAUUAUUAUGUCACACCAUACUUAAAUUAAUUAGCUGUUCCAACUCUUUUAUUUAUCGUUUCUUACCAUUACAAAAAUAGAAUACAAAAUGUGGAGGCAUAAUUCGAUUAAUAUUCUAUCUAACGCUAUCUCGGUCGACCAAAGCAAAUUAAGUUUUAUCAAUAUAUUAUAUAUAUAUAUAUAUUUAUAUAUAUGUGUGUGUGUUUGUGUGUGCUGUGUCUGUGUCUGUGUCACGUACAGACAACAACUACAACAAAAACGGUCUAUAGCGACACUUUUAAAUGUGACAUGUCAAAAAAGUGUGCUAGCUAAAAUUACCGACACUUUUAAAAGUGUUGCUAUAUGUGGGGUCGCUAGGUAUAUAGUGACAGUUAAAGAGUGUCGCUAUAAUCUAAAAGAGUGCUACUAAUUUCUCAACACUUAUUUAAGCAUUUAGCAACCACCGAAACUCUAUCUCGUUGGCUGCGGUGGCGGAGGAGGACGACAGUAAAGGCUCUUCGUCUAGAAUUUCAGUGGAUUGAGUGAAGAGAGAAGAAAAGAUGAUAACUGAUUUUUCUUUUUUUUUUCUUUUCUGUUUGUAAUCGGGCCAAAUGGACUGGAUGUGAUGGGUUGAGUAGAGUAAUCUUUUAUUUUUGGUUGGAUUGGGCUUUAUAUUUAGGUAUUAGUAGAUGUGUUUUUAAGUUUUAGCAUAAAUGGGACACUUACUCAAAAGUGUCCCAAACAUGUGUCCCUAUAAUCUAAUUCUGUUGUAGUGAAAAAUUAGUUUAGAAUUUUUUUAAAAAAUAUUUUUAUUUUUUAGAAAAAAUUAUCUACACCUUCUCCCCUCUCGGUGGCAACGUACUUUCAAAAGCAUUAAUUUCGUUGAAGAUAUGGACUUAGAAAACACAAAAAAUUGGUAGACCAAAUCAUGCCGACCAAGCUUGACUUAUUGCAUGGUCAUAGAAAUAUAUUAUCAUGUAUAUAUAUUUAUAAAAACUUUGCAAGAUGAAGUAAUUAAUUUGUCACAAACAUGUCAAAAUCUUAUGUCUCAUCAAAUAUAUAUAUUUCGAGAUGUGAGUUCGAUCUCAUGAUAUAUAUGGCGGCCGUUGCAUAGCGAAUCGUCCUGUGUUGUACAGUUAAAAAAGAAAAUUAAAAGUAAAAUAGGAGUUUAGAUAACCGUCGCUAUAAUAAAUCUUGCACUUAAAAGAUAUUUAAAGUUAAACAAUAACUUGCGAUGCUUUAAAGCAUCAGCAAGAAUAAUCCUAACGCUGGUAAAAGCGUUGGGUAAAGCGUUGUUAAAUAAACAUGUCGGGAUAAAUAUACCGACAUUUUAAUAUAGCGUCAAAAAAUUUUUAUUAGUAUUUGAUAAAAAUAUGUUUAUUGACAACGCACGUUUAAUCAUGGUGUUGGUACGUAUAUGCCAAAUAUAUAUUAAAGAUAUUAAAAUAGAGCGCCAUCUAAAAAUCGUUAUCUAAAAUAUAUUUUGUUGUAGUGCGUAUAUAGCUUAUCAAGUAGCGAAUUGGGUUUUUUUUUUUUUUUGAAUCCAUUCCAAGUAAAUCAAUAUAUCAAGGCCGAGAGAUCAUGUUACAUUUGCUCUUAUUAGUAUAAGUUUUAAUUAGUGCUAAUUAACUUUUGUUGUAUAAUAACAAAAUGCAUGUUAAUUAAGGUGGGUUAAAUUAAUGAUAAUGUGAAGCACUUAGCCAUAUUAUUAGAAGGGAGAAUGCACACCAUGUCAUCAACCACUAUAUGUCAACAACCAUAUUAGCAAGUUAAUCGCUUUCCUUUAAUUAGUCUCAAUCCCCAUUAACAAGUUAAUUGUUUUGUUCUUAUAGAAGGGAUGCAUGAUAAUGACAUCCCAACCAUUCCCUCUUCUUCCUCCACAACCUCUCUCUAUUAAUUUCUUUGUUCUUCUCUCUCUCUCUCUCUCAUCUCUUCCUCUCCACCCUAUAGCAACUCUCUCUCUCCCUCUCUCUCUCUAUAUUUUCUCCUUCUAAAGGAGAUUCAAGCAUGCAUGCAUGGAUGGAUGUAGAUGUUACACAUAUAUGAGGCUAGGUAAGAGUGCGAUGUUGGGGCGGCUCAAUCAAAUGAUGUAUAUGUCUUCAUGAGACUAUCGGAUGAACUUUUAUAUCUGAUUGAGCCGUGCCAAUAUCACAAUUCUUUUCUUGGCCUAUUGCGACUGGCAUAACUAUGCAUACGUGACAUGUCACGAUCUCUUGGAAGGUAUGCAUAUAUAUAUAUAUAUAUAUAAUUUAUCAUUGGUUUGCAUUGACUCGAGAAUCAUUUUGCGCAUGCAAUUAAUCUGGUGUCGCAAAAAGUUUGUAGAUCGACAUAUUAGUGUAGUCAUGAAUAUAAUGGAUUUGAUAUACAAUUUCAUGCAUACUUUUACGAGCUCAUGCCCAUAUAUAGGUGCAAAGCUACUCUAUAAUGCGCGCUUAACGUCUCUUCAUCAUAGUGUUUUUGACGGUUCCGUAGUUUCUUCUCCUCCUUCUCAAUAACACCUCGACAAAUAAUAUAUAUACUCACACUCUUGGUAAGUUUGGUCUUAACUUAAUAAAUUGACAUGAUAGAGCAAGUAGUUUUGAUAGCUUCUUAAAAAGCAUAUUUAUAUAUAUUUAAACAAAUCUCUCUUUUGUUGAUGCACGUAAUUUUUGGAAAUUACACUUUCAUAUGAUGAAAAGAUCUCCCUUAGAAACCGUUUAUAUUCUUCUUUAAUUUUUCUCUUUUUGUGUUAAGCUCUUUGAAAUCCAUGCAUCAUUGAGAUUAAAAAAGACCAUAUUAAUUAAUGAUUUUGUACAUAAUAAUUAAUCUUCUUAAUUAAUUAAGGAAUAAAAGAUUCACUUUGCUUAUCUAUCGGCCGGACUCAACUUUAAAUAGCACAUAUAUAGAUAGGGCUGUAAACGAGCCGAGCUCGAGCGAGCUGGAGCCAGCUCGAGCUCGGCUCGUUGUCUUCUAGGUCGGCUCGUGUUCGGCUCGAGCUCGUGACGAGCUCGAAAACUCUGGCUCGUGAUCGGCUCGAAACUUAAUCGAGCCGGCUCGUGUUCGGCUCGUUAGCUCGUACCUGGUGGCCGAAGCAGAUGNACAGCGAGCUGGAUUGCCACCCCUAUAUAUAGAUGAUCAUGCACUUCAUGUAUUUAUGAAGUUCUCUUCAAAAAGGUAAAAGAAAAUUUCUAUGAACUUAAUAAUACUUUAUUUCCUGCCAAUAUAUAGUUGGUUAUCAUCAUUAGAAAAUAAAACAAACUCAAGCAUCUUAUAAUUUUUAGGCAAAUGAUUCAUAUAUAUAUAUAUCUAGAGUAGGGCUAGAAUACUUAUAAAAGUAUCAUGGGGGUGAUACUUGCGUGUUUUUAGCCCUUGGAUGGAGAGAUGUGAGGUUGAGAUGAUGGUGGUAGGUGGUGGUAGGUGGAAUAGUGUUUAAUCCAAGGGCUAUUAAUAAUCAAAAAGUAGAUCCAAUGGCUUAAAACCUAAUAGCACCAUGAUGGUGAUACUUGUAAAAGUAUCAUAGCUCAACUCUAUAUAUCUAUAUGGUUAAAGGUACAUUUGUUUUUUCUUUGUAAACAGGCCCUACAAUUAUAAGAGGCCUCUAUAUAUAGACAUGUAUAGGCCAUGUCUACUAUACUAUUAUGGGUAUUGGAGCCAUCGUACUCAUAAGUUGUUUUUAAUGAUGGAGCUUCCGAAUCUACGAUCCAUUUCGUUAAAUAUGAUCUAGAGUAUUUGAAACUUCUAGCCCCCGUUUGGUUCCGGGUUAAGAAAAAAUAGCUAUUCCAGGGAUAGGGUUAAGUUCAGGGUUAAAAUGGUGUUAAAGUUUUUUUGUGUUUGGUUAGAGGUUGGAGUUAGUCUAGAAUAGUGAAAAAAAGUGUUUGGUUGGAGUAGGUGGGAUAAGAAGAUAAUGAUUGAUAAAGAAGAAAAAGGUAAGAGCUCGGGAUGCGUGCGGGGUUAAAGUUGGGAGGGGGAGUGGGGUUAAUGAUUGAUAAAGAAGAAAAAGAUGAGAGCUCGGGAUGCGUGCGGGGUUAAAGUUGGGAGGGGGAGUGGGGUUAAUGAUUGAUAAAGAAGAAAAGGUGAGGGCUCGGGAUGCGUGCGGGGUUAAAGUUGGGAGGGAGAGUGGGGUUAGUAAACCCCACUAACCCGGUUUGGGGUGGGGUUAGUAAACCCCACCCCAAAAGAGUGGUGUUUGGGUAUAAAUUGGGGGUUAAGGGGUGGAAUAACAACCCCUUAACCCCCAACCAAACGGUGGCCUAGAAAAUAAAUUUCGUAAAUUUUCGAAAUCAUAAUAAAAUCCAUCAAGUGGGCAUAAAAUGAACGGUCAAAAUCGAACGACGUCCUAAAAAAGGAUGAUCGGAUCCUUUAAUUCAAGAUCGGAGUUAUUGAUCUUUAUCUAUAGAGUGAAUAGACUUUUCUAUCAAAAAUUCAACAAAUUUCGAUUCUUUUACACCGUUAAACUAGCAAGUAUCCCAUACCGGCCGUUAAAAAUUGUCAAAUUUGUGACCUCUUGAUCGUAAGGUAAAUGAUGUCGAAAAAUUAUAAAAUUUUAUUUCUAGAAGUUUUAAAUACUGUAAAUAACGUUUAACAGGUAUGGAUCGUCGAUUCGGAAGCUCUAUCAUCGAAAACAACUUAUGAGUACGAGGGCGAUCGUAUUCAUAAUAGUAUAGUAGCCGGACCAUACAGAUAUAAUGAAUAGAUUAAAAUGUUUGGAAACCAACCUCAACUUUGAAUAAUUUGGAAUUAAACAAUCUAUCAAAUCCUUAAAAAAAAAAAAAAAAUUACUUUGUCACCCUGCAUUUAUAGCUAUGAAAACUAUUGCGUGCACCCGGUGCACAUUCGUGAAUCACAAUACUUAAUUAGAAGCACGACUGCAUAGGGGGGUACGGACGCCCGAAAUUUUAUUCGAAUCCAAAUCCGAACAAGGGUGGUUUAUCAUAUGCUAAAUGGAUAUGGUUUCAGAUAUGAGUAUAAAAAAUAAAAAUCCGACCCGAAUCCAAACCCAAACCCGAUUAGAACCCUAAUAGAGUUUACGUUAUAUAAUAUACAAGAAUGUUUGAUGUUAUAUUUGAAUUUAUAUUUUAAAAUUUUAGAUUUUAAUGUAAUCUAUUUUGAUAAAGGGAAGUAAUUAAUUGUUUCGGUUUCGGAUUCGGGCUUCAGAUUUUUGGUUGUGAUUCGGUUUUAAAUAUGAAUUCUCAAAAUCCGUCGGGUUUGGGUUCAAAUUUCAAAUUUGGGUGUUGGAUUCGGGUUUGGGUUUUGAAAAAAUCCAUUCCGAAUCCAACCCUUUAACAUCCCUUGACUUGUGUCAAGGACAAGUUGAAAUAAUAUCUCACUGCGCAAAUUAAUCAAGUGAUUUCAAAGGGUAGGUAACUAACUGGAAAUUUUUUCUAUGUUGCGUGGUGGUCUGCAAAUGACUUGUAGAACACAUUUGUAAGUUAGCUAAAACUAUAUGACACGUGACAUAUCUAUCUUCGAACUUUAAUUUAUUAUUAUUUUUUAUCUCAAAUUUUGUAUGUUAUUAUAAUCAAAUCCCACAAUAUAAUUGAGUUGAUUUAAUGGCAAUAAUGUAAAAAGUUUGGGUCAGAAAUUGCAACUGAUUAGAGCGCGAGAACUGACGUGGUCAUAGUUUGGGGACCAAAGGUGCAGUUUAGUGUUAUAAUUAAUAUUGUGCCGGUCAAUUUUCAAAGUCUUGGCAAUUGAUAUAGAACUAAUUAAUUAAUCAGACGAUUAAUUAAAUUGAAGAGUUAAUUAAUUAGUUAAUUAGGUGAGCGCAUUCUCUUGACCAUUAGAAUUGCCAAAAUGCCUCUUGUGACGCCCCGACUUCCCAGGGAGUCAUCCAUCCUAGGACUACUCCCGUCCUAGCACGCUUAACUCUCUUAACCUCUUGGGUCUAGCCACCACCCAAAAUGCUUAAGCCGGGUUAAGAGUUUAGCCCUAUUAUAUCUUAUAUAUGUAACGUGUUACAACAAAUUACAGUUUGUAUGGGAACAGCCUUUAGAAAGUUACACAAGAAACCACCUGCAUAGAAAUAAAAUGGCUGGCUUAAAUCAUACAUCAGAACACGGAAAUAUAUGAAACUUGAAUGACCAACCAGUGUCAAGAUAAAUACAAUAAGGAAAUACAAACAAAAGUUACAAAAUACAAUGCAGCCUGAGUUAAUAGGCACAAAUAUUAAUGUUUCCAAAUGUUGCAGAAUUCCAAACAUCAAUUCUCAGCGACCAUCCUUCUGAAGAAUAAGGUUCACGAAUUCAGAAGAAGGUUCACGAGUUUGCAUAUGCAGUAGCAUAUUCAGGCAGCUGAUUUUUGGGUUGCAUAGCUUGCAUCCGCUAGUGAUCUAGUCCGCCUAUGACCAGUACAAGGCCAAGUCAUGCAUUUGCCAAUAGUACAAGAAAAUGCAAGUGAAAACACAAAAUAGAGAUGGGCUGCUUAAAACACUUGACAUGAACAUUUUAGCCUAAUUAGGAUAAUUUAAUUAUAUUAACUUGCUGGAACUAUCGCAAGGAACUUUGUUCAAUUAUAAUUACCUAAUAAAUAUACGUAAGGUUUUAAAAGCCAUUCUAAGUUUUUCAUAUUAGUUCCUUUGUAUGUUCUCUGCUUAACCAACUAUAGGAUCUUACAUUUUUGCCGCACUUACAACAGCAAUGCGGACAUAUGCACCUCAUUUUUAAGAGUUAUCCAUCCCUCAUAUUUGUUUAUCGUUCACCUCAUUGUUUGUAACAAUGACAAACUAGUAGUAACACCCGGAACACAGCAAACCACAGGAUUCCCAUUAAUUGGAGGAAAGUGAAAUUAGGCAUUAGGUCGACAGUAAGAGCAUUCCAUAACUGAUUAUUUAACAGGCAAACAUGAAUCAAACUAGGUUCACAGCUAAAUGCUAAGUAAUGACAUAUAAUGUGGAAUUAAUUGAUAUCCAGAGAGAGAGAGAAUUUCUUGCAGCAGUCUCGGAAAAGUUUGAUUUUUAACAGCGAAAAGGGCUUCAUUCAUUGCAAAACGCAAUGGCCACAGUCCAUCUCACUGACCCUCACUAGGAGGAACCUCAUCGAAGCAUACAUUACAAGUGAUGGGGCAUGGCGAACUUGACAAGACGCGACCUUUAUCUCGAUAGCGGACACUCCGGCCUCCAAGAACAACCUCUCUCUCCCCUUCACUUCCAGCAACUCAAAAAUCCGUUCCACGUCCACCGGUAAUGGAUCAACAGCGUCGAGCAUGCUGCUCCUCGAAGAGCAAGCAACUCAUCACCUUCCUCAGAUCCUCCCUCUACAGGAAACCCAAGGAACACCAAAUUUACCAAUUUAAACCUAAUGCACACAACCAAACACACCAAUUCGCACAAAAGUGCUGCAUUAAUUACCUGCGCGGCCAAAAGGGACUCUUUGGUGAUAACCUGCGAUCAAAUUAGGGCAAAAUCAGGUCCCGGCAAAAGGGAUCAAAUUAAACUCGAAAAUUAGGGCCGAAAACAAGAUCGGCGAACGGGAAAAUCGAGGGGCGGGGACGAACACGGACCGAUGACACGGACCAGUGGCACUCCUCCUCGCCCCCGUCCGCGAGGACGUCGAGCACCGUCUCCUCCGCCGGCGUCGUCAUUAUCGCUAAAGUAGUACUCCGCCUCCUCCGCCGUCUCCGAUUCCUCCUCCUCCGCCGCGCAUCUUCCUCUUCCUCUUCCUCUUCCUCUUCCUCCUCCGCCGCGCGCGCCGCCGCCGACGCCGACGUUCGAGAUCGCUCGACGAGGCGGGAUCGUCGUCGCUCGCCAUGGGAGCGAUCCGAGCGAAAGGGAUCAAAGAGGGUCGACAGGGAUGGGAUCGAAUUGGAGAGAGAGGGGAAAAAGAAGCUUUCGUAGGGUUUGAUGAGGAUUGGCGACGGCGUAGCUCCCUUGGGUAGGGGUUCUUCUCUCUUCUCUCUCUCUCUCUCUCUUCUCUCCUCGCUCUCACCUCACUUUUUUUUUUUUUCUUUCUUUUACCUGUAACUUUUGUUUUUAUGUUUUUAAUUUAAUUUAUAUUUAUUAAUAUUUAUAAUAUUUUUUUUUAUUAUGAAUUCCGACAUGGAUCGGCGUACGAUUAGAAUCGAUUGGCUCGGGCUAAAAGGUUAACCCAACCCUGUAACGUACAUAGAGGGCGAAAAAGGACGAAUACAUGAGGAUAGUGACAAAAUCAUUAUUCACUUUUUUUUCUUUCGUUUUGGGAUGUGAAUUGAAUUUGGAUUUCGAUAUACGAUAGAUUAGGGAUUAAAAAUUAUUGAUUUUGAAUCCUUUUUGAUUGCUAGAUAAAAUAUUAAAAAAUUAAAAAUUUAUUUUUAAAUAUUUUAAAUACGCUAAAUUAAGUUUAACAAAAUCGAUUGUCGAUUCGAAAGCUCUAUUAUCGAAAAACGGCUUAGAAGACAUUUGAGGCCUUCGUACUUCUAUAUAAUAUACAAAAGUAGCUCUCUCUCUCUCUCUCUCCCUCUCUCUAUCUUAUAUAUCAUAUAUAUUAUUACCUUUAUGAGUAUAGACCCCAUAUAUUUAUAAAUUUUAAUCGUUGAUUGAUGAAAUGUUAUAGUUAGGAUGAUGGUGGUCCCCCAUUAAAAUGAUAGUGGUUCUCUAGGGUUGAGUGGAUAGUUAGUUAAAUUGAUUAUGCUAACGGGUAAAAUAUCAAUAUAAUUAAAUUAAGGGCAGAAGACUUACGAGUUAAUAAAGGAGCCAAUACUCUAGCGGACUAAAAUUAUAUAUAUAUAUAUAUAUAUAUGUGUGUGUGUAGAGCUACUAUGCUACGGAAGCAUAGAAGAUUGAUGCUUCCAAUUUUUUAACCCUUGGAUAAAAAUUAUAGGUUGGGAUGAUUGCGGUCCCCCCAGUAUUGAGUAAUAUCCCUAGGGUUGAGGGUCCCCACAGGGUAAUAGUGUUAAUUCAAAAUUAGAAAUGAUCAAAAGGGUUGAUCGAAGGGCCAAAAAAUAGGAGCACCAAUAUAUAUAUAUAAUAGUACGGUUGGUGCGAUACUAUCGAUAGCACCAAGGAUUUGGUUAACCAUUUGAUUAUUUUUAUCGUCAAAUUAUACUAUUCACAACCACCUCACUCAACCCUAGGGGGACCACCUCAUCAAAACCACCAUAUUUUUUAAUCCAGCGCGUUAAAAAAUUAAUAGCAUACCAAUAGCUUGAUGCUAUUGUGUAUUUCACUUAGAGUUCUAUAUAUAUAUAUAUAUAAAGGAGUUGCUAAAUCUCUACAAUAAUACUAUAGCAUAAUUACAGAAGGAAAAACAAGCAACUCACUCCAACACUCACAAGAAAUAAUUGAAGUAUCCACAAUCUUAUCUUUAAGUCUGGUCGAGAUCUUCACUGUCGGGGCGACCAAACUCUGGCUUCUAUUACUUUCUCACGAGAACAGAAUGUCGAGUCUCUAAGUAGACUGAGCACCCUUGCGGCGCCAAUGCUUGCUUCUGCGAUAGACAUCUUUGUAUAAAAAGAAAAAAGAAAAGAAAAAUUCAAAUCCUUUAAUCUAGAAUAAUACAGUAGUACGAUAUGUCGAGGGGCGCUUCAAAUAUGACUCGUGGGUGUUUAUACUUUUUCAUUUUAGUAUUAUAUAUGUGAGUUUAAAAUAUAGUCAACUUUAAUAUCCAUGUGGUUAAUUUCAUUUUUUUUCGUUUUCGUCGAGCUUUUCGUAAUUUUUUCGCUUAAAUUUAUAUACAAAAACUUCAGAUACCCCACCUGAUAAGUUAUCGAAAUAUUUACUUAUAAUACCUUUAGUUUUGUACUGUUAUAUACUGAAUUUACGAAAAAAAUUAGUGGAAGCGGAUAACUAAGAAAAAUAAACAAAAAUGAAAAACACAUCAGUACUAUCUAAUUGGUACACCUUUAAAAUCAGAUAGCGCCACUAAAGUAAAGCGAAACACGGUGUGGUAUUUUGAACUUUCCCAUUAAUUAUCUCUCACUAAGAUCAAGAAAAAGUUCAUUAAGAAUGUUAGAGAAUUAAAGCAAAUUAGAUUUGUAAGUAACGUUAUUAGUACUGUUGUGGCUAUUAUAGUACAUAUAUGGGAUUGACAUAUUAUCCUUGCUUGGCAAUAUUUCCCAUAGAAAACCUAAUUAAACUGCUGAACAUUUGAGGAUUUGAGCCCAAAGGUGAUUAGAGAGAGUUCGAUAGUGGUUGUUGUGACUACAAAUUCUAAGGGCAUUAAAAUUAGUUCGGCUUGGUUCGAUUUUUACGUUGAUUUCAAACUAAACUAAAAUUUUUGGCUUGAAAAAAUCAGCAACCUUAGCCAGGCCAAUUUAUUGUGGAACCGAUGCAAACCAAACAUAUUAAUUGGUUUGGUUCGCGUUUCACUAGCGGAGAGUAUUAGAAUUUUUAUUUUUCUUAUAAUAAUUCUGUAGUAUCCUUAGGUUUUUUGGGUUGCUUGUGGAUUUCAGCAUCUGAGAUUUGGCGACAUAUUUGAGAGAAGUGUCGGACACAGUCGGAAUCGUUGGCGAAAUUGACGCAAAACGGAACUCAAACGCUGAGGCACGACGAGUAUGAGUUCUUGAUGCUGAAAUCACAAAGUGGAGGAUUUCAGUGUUGAUGUCCGGGUUGGCAUAGGACUGGUACCGAUCCCUGUAUGCGGCUUGCGGGCUGAAGAGGUCGAGUACCUGUAACCAAACGGAAAGUACCGAUACUCAGCUGUCAUGUGAGUUGGUAGGGUAUACGGUCUUUUUGUGUUGGUGGUUGAUCACCACACCAAACUCUCCCUCGUACUCCCUCGUAUUUAUCCAUCUGAGGGAGAGUAGCUUACUUAAUUGGAGUUCCUCUCUUCUUCUCAGUAUUAAUCUAUUUGCUUGGUGGAGCCACGUCUUGAGCUCGGAUCGACGUCGACGUUGCGCCGAAGCCGUUCGAGCCAUCGUGCGUUUGCGGUUGCGCUGUUGGAAACCGGGCGACCCGCGCGUGAUUUCCUCUCCUUUCGACUUCUGCCGUUGUUGCGAUUAGCAUUUCGAGGUGGGUCUGGAAGUUUAGACCGAGCAACCGUCGUGAAUAUCUUUUAGUUUUAGCAUUUGUCGACAUGUUCAUUCGUUUAUCUCUUAUAUUACUCAAUUCAUGGUUAGUGCUUUAAAUCUGAAUUUGAGUUAAUGCUAGUAGUUUUAAUUUUACAGUUGGACUUGAUUGACUUAAGAGAAAACUAUAAAGAUCUUACACUGUUUUUCUGAAAAUAUUCAUAUUUAUGCUUUAAGACCUGUGGUUUGUUUGUAUCGCGCAGUUUGUAUUGCGGUGCGAUAUCCAGAUCAGUGGCAAUGAGUUUACGCUCCGUGCUGGACGAGCCGAGUUCUAUUUCUUACAGUAGUCGUGUAGACUAUUGGGACUGUACGAUGUACUGUUGCGCGGGACCGCUGGAUCCAGAAUUUACGUUAUCUGCAUCAGAUUGUGCCCGAGGGCACCGUGAAGUUUUGGUGUCAGACCAGUUUGAUCCAUUUAUUUUGAUUACAGUCUAUGAGAGCCCUGAUUGAGCUCGGCAGAGACACGCUUGAUAUUCAGUUGGGUAGCGCCCACGAGUGCCACUUCCGGAGUCGGCUUAGUGCUUUUGCGUUAUUAUCGUAGUGUUCUGGUUGAACUUGCUCUACACCAACCAACCAGCGUGGUGGGGUUGGUGUAGCUUCGACGGCGGGACGGGUGUGUUCAUAGUCCUAAUGAGAUUGGGUCAGAGAUUGCAUCUUACUUAUAUUACAGAUAGCUAGUCUUGGUUAACGGCAGUUAUAGUGGCAUGUAGCUGUAGAGUUUUUUCAGCUUUCUUUAUUAUCCUUUAGCAUACUUUCUGUAGACUUAGUGGCUGUGCAGCUGUUGAUUAUCGUAGCGGUACCAACUGAGGACUAUUCUUUUUGCAGUAGCUUUCUCACACUCAGUUAUUGACCCCUUUUUGCAGAGUCUUCGUCCGCAGCUACUGCUGUUGUUGAUUUGGAUCGUGGAAAGGGAGUCGCGAGCUAGAUCCCUUCCAGUUCUUGUUGCUGUUUAGAGGAGUACCAGCUACAGGAUAGUUUUGAUUUUUGGUUCAUGUACAUACUGAUGUUAGAAACUCGCAGGAGCGAGUGAUGUCGGUAUCUUGGAGACUGUGUAUGUAUAGUGAAAUCUGAUGUUUAUUUGUAUAUGUUUACAGUUCUUUUAGCAGCUCUAUACUAUGGUUGUUGUUUUGUAUGAUUAACAUGUAUGAUGCACAGUACAGUUAUCGCUUCGGAUACAGAGAAAAUUUUUGUAUACGGCGGGUCUGUUGGCGUGCCCGGAGAAACGUGAUACAUCCGGGGCGUGACAAAUUCAUACUUUAAGAAUCAAAUUUUGAAUCAUUCUCAUCAUAAAUUAAUUACGGAAUUUUCAAAAGUGAGUUGUGAUAAAGAGUAUCAUUAGUGUUAAGUCGCAUCAGAGUGGAAUCCUAGUGUUAAUUUUGGAUCACAAUGGUCCCUUCGAAAAGAAUGUUAGUGUUGAGUCUGCAUCAGAAAACCACUUGGACUGUACAUGUCUUUUUUCACUGAAUGUGGGAGAGGAGAAGAAAGUAAUUUUGACUGUAAAAGUUAUUUUUGUUGUUGGUUUGCCGUAACUUCACCAUCGUCGAAACUCAUACUCCCCGAAACAGCAUAACGGCUUCCGCCCCACUGAAAGCCGAAUGUCAAUUACGGAAAAAGAAAAUGAGAAAAUAAUAAAUAUAAAUCCAUCUACUUCCUGUUAAAUAAACAGUAAACACACGAUGAACUUUAAGUUCAUAGCUAUACAAAUCAACCGCAAAAGAAAAGCAAUGUUUACGUGACAACUCUACUUGAGACCUGCUAAAUCUACUUCAAACUUAAACUGAUUUUCAGCAAAGUAAACAGCAUCUAGGCACAAGUCCAGUGUGCAGAUUUGUUGCCUCUACUUCAACAAGAAGCACCAUAUAUGUAAGUGUGACAAUUAAUGUUCAACACACAAGGUGAAUGUUAUUUAGAGUUGAGCUAGAAUGCUAUCAGUAGCAAACUGGCUUCGUUGCCACCCAUUUGUUUUCGAUAAUAGAAUCUUUAAAUUGACGAUCGGCACCAUUGAACAGGAUCUAUACCACUUGAAGUAUCUAGAAACCAAAUUUCAAAUCAUUUCGACAUCAUUAACCUAAUGAUCAAAGGUUUCAAAAUUUAUAAUUUUAAUGGUAGAUAUCAGGCGUUUUCUCGUUUAACGGUGUAAAGCUAUCCAAAUCAAUUGAAUUUUGGUUAGAAAAUUUUUAAACUAUUUAGAAUAAGAUCUAUACUCUCGAUCUUGAUUACAAAAUUGCUAUCAUCAUAUUUUUAGAGGAUAUUCAUUUUCAGCUGUUCAUUUUUACGCCACCCUACUGAUGGACAGAGAAUAUAGGAAAAGUAUUAAAAUUUGAUUUCUAGAUACUUCAAGUGAUAAGAUCAUAUUUAACGUACCGUCGUCGUUUGAGGCUCAUCAUCGAAAACAAAUGGGUGCGCAUGGCCGUUUGCAUACCGAUAGUAUUCUACGCUCAACUCAUGUUAUUUAAUAGACAUUUAUGCAUUAACUCAAGAAUUUUAAUUUAGAGAACAGCAUGAGAAAAUUUUCGAUAAUCUAUCAAAUACAAAUCUAGUUCAUUUAGUUUUAAACCACAUCAUGAAUCAUAUUAAUCAUGCGUGAUAAGCAAUUCACACAUUUUGAUGCCAAUUUGGCUGCCAAGCAACAUAGAACGUCUAAAAAUGCUUGCCCAACAAAAACAAAAAAAGGCUACAAUUGUUGUGUGAGAAAUGAAAAUGUUAGUAUGUAAACUGCAUAACUAAAAUUAUAAAAGGAUAAAUAUCUAGAGGUUAAUCUCAAAUAGACGGUGUGACGACCCAGAUACGUCCUAUAUACUAGAUAUAAUAGGGCCUAAACUCUUAACCCGGUUCACAGCAUUUUGGGUGGUGCCUAGACUCAAGAAGUUAAGAGAGUUAGCGGCUAGGACGGGAAUAGUCUAGGCUGGGGGACUCCCUGGGAAGUCGGGGCCGUCACAGCAUGGUAUCAAAGCCAAUUACAGCCGCAAGUGCUGAGAUGAUCUCGGCUGAGCCAUGGGUUGGAUUGAGGCUAGCGAGACGAUGUCUAACAUCGCUGGGGUACUUGUGAGGUCUGAGCUGACGAGGACGUCAAGGGCUAAGGGAGGGAGUUGUGAAGACCCCAGAUAGUCNNNNNNNNNNNNNNNNNNNNNNNNNAUAGUAUAUUUAUUAUAUAUAUAUAUAUAUAUAUAUUAUAAUAUAUAUAUAGAGUCCGCUACUAUACUAUUGAUGGUACCAAGCCUUUGGUUGACUAUAGAAUUUUCUACCGUUAGAUCUACCCUGUGAUCAUUUCCACCCGUUAGAUUAUACUAUUAAACCAACCACCCACUCAACCCUAGGGACCACUAUCAUCCUAACCGCACAUUCUUCAUCAACGGCCAAAAACUACAUAGUACCAAGGACUUGGUACUAUUAUAGUAUAGGAGCAUAAUUCUAUAUAUUAUAAUAUUGAUUAGGUCUUGUGUGCUCUCAGGAGCACAUAGCUCUCCGUGCUCCUGAGCUGUUUUCGAUGGUGGACUCUCGAAUCGACGAUCGGCUCCGCUAGACUUGAUCUAGCAUAUUUGAAGUAUGUAGAAAAUAAAUUUUGCGAUUUUCGAUAUCGUUUACUUAUGAUCGAAAACAGCACCUAUGCUUUUGAAAGUACCAAGUCAUUUGGUGCUUGUAAGUUUUCGCCCUGGAUUAACGGAUGUGCGGUUUAGGAUGAAUUGGCCCCCCAGGUUGAGCGGGUGGUUGGUUGAAUAGUAUAAUCUAACGGGUAAAAAUGAUCAAAGCAGAGAUCUAAUGAUAAAAAUUUACAAGCACCAAGUGCUUGGUACUUUACAAGCACCAUAGUCGGACUCGUAUAUAUAAUAUAUAUAUAUAAUAUUAUAUAUAUAUAUAUAUAUAUAUUUAUUUAUUUAUUUAUUAUAUGAUGAGAGGGUGGUCCACCGUGACCUCCCUCUCAUCCGGUCCACGAGGUCACUGGCCUUGUGGACCGCGCACACCGCUGCUCCCUCCGCCGCAACACCUCACCAUUUCUCCCUCCGCGCACAACACCGCACCCUCUUGCUCCCGGCACUGUACGGCGUUGGGGGACGCAGCGGACGACCUCGGCGAGACAGGAUGGUCGUUGCGGCCCUCUUGCGCUCGGCACCGGCAAGCUGCGCGGAAGGAGAGGGACGACGAGAGCGGCAAGUGAGCGAUGGGAGCGAACGAAGAGGAAGAGGAGGUAAUGCGAAGGGGGAGGAGGAGGUGGAGAUCCCUCGCCAUGGAUCCUCCUUUCUCAGGUGGGUUCCCUCUUUUGAUCUCCCUCUUUUGUGGGUUUUCGUGUGGAUUUUUAUGUAUUGAUGCAUUUUUUUUGAAGGGGUGUGGAUCGCAUCUGGGCGGUUUGGAUUGAGGUGAGAGAAAAGGGUUCAACUGGGUUGUCUUGAAAUUGAUUUUAAGGGUUUUAAUGUGUUAAUUAAUUUUGGUGUUUAUCUUUUGGGAUUGUUGAAUUGGUGGCUUGUGUUGGAGGUAGUGUGGGUGUGGUGGUCGAGAGGAGAUGAGGCGAGGUGGAGGCGGAGGAGCCGGCGUCGAGGUUGGCGGGGUGUGAACGGCUAGCGACCAAGUUAGGAGAGAAAGAAGGAUAGCUUAAGGGAUUAGUAUAAUAAGGUAGGGGAAAAUAGUUUUAUAUAGGUUUUAAUUAGUAUUACAUAUAUAUAUAUAUAUAUAGAAUUAUGCUACUAUACUAUCAAUAGUACCAAGCCUUUGGUACUAUUGAGUUUUCGGCCGUUGAAUGAAAGGAUGUGCAGUUAGGAUAAUAGUGGUUCCCGGUUAAAUUGAUAGUGGUCCCCCUAAGGUUGAGUGGGUGGUUGGUUUAAUAGUAUAAUCUAACGGGUGAAAAUAAUCAAAGGGUAGAUCUAACGGUAGAAAACUCAAUAGUACCAAGGGCUUGAUACUAUCGAUAGUAUAAUAGCCGGACUAUAUAUAUAUAUAUAUGGUGCUUCCUAUUUUUUGGCCCUUCGAUCAACCCUUUGAUCAUUUCUAAUUUUUGAAUUAACACUAUUACCCUGUGGGGACCCCUCAACCCUAGGGAUAUUACUCAAUACUGGGGGGACCGCAAUCAUCCCAACCAUAUAAUUUUUUAUCCAAGGGUUAAAAAAUUGGAAGCAUCAAUCUUCUAUGCUUCCGAUAGCAUAGUAGCUCUACACACACACACACAUAUAUAUAUAUAUAUUUAGUCCAUCUAGAGUAUUGGCUCCUUUAUACUCGUAAGCUUUCGGCCCUUAAAUUUAUUAUAUUGAUCAUUUUCACCCGUUAUAUCAUACUAUUUAACUAACUAUCCACUCAACCCUAGGGGACCACUAUCAUUUUAAGUGGGGACCACCAUCAUCCUAACUAUACAUUUCAUCAAUCAACGAUUAAAAAUUUAUAAAUAUAUGGGGGUCUAUACUCAUAAGAGUAUAGUAAUAUAUAUGACUAUAUAUAUAUAUAUAGAGAGAGAGAGAGAGAGAGAGAGAGAGUACCUUUUGUAUAUUAUUAGAAGUACGAAUGCCUCUAUGCUUCUAAGCCGUUUUCGAUAAUAGAGCUUUCGAAUCGACAAUCGAUUUUGUUAAACUUAAUUUAGCGUAUUUAAAAUAUUUAAAAAAUAAAUUUUUUAAUUUUUUAAUAUUAUUUAUCUAGCAAUUAAAAGGAUUCAGAAUCAAUAAUUUUUAAUCCCUACUCUAUCGUAUAUCGAAAUCCAAAUUCAAUUUCACAUCCCAAAAGAAAGAAAAAAAAGUGAAUAUGAUUUUGUCCAAUAUCCUCCUGUAUUCGUCCUUUUUCGCCCUUAUGUACGUUACAGGGUUUGGGUUAACCUUUUAGCCCGAGCCAAUCGCUUCUAAUCGUACGCCGAUCCAUGUCGGAAUUCAUAAUUAAAAAAAAAUAUAUAUAAAUAUUAAUAAAUAUAAAUUAAAUUAAAAAACAUAAAAACAAAAAGUUCAGGUAAAGAAAAAAGAAAAAAAAAAAAGUGAGGUGAGAGCGAGAUAGAGAGAGAGAGAGAGAGAGAAAGAAGGAGAAGAACCCCUACCCAAGGGAGCUACGCCGUCGCCAUCCUCAUCAAACCCUACGAAGCUUCUUUUUCCCCCCUCUCUCCAAUUCGAUCCCAUCCCUAUCGACCCUUCUUGAUCCCCUUUCGCCUCGGAUCGCUCCCAUGGCGAGCGACGACGAUCCCGCCUCGUCGAGCGAUCUCGAAGCGUCGGCAUCGGCGGCGGCGGCGGCGGCGGCGGCGGNCUUUAGUACAAAAAUGGUGGUCUCUAUACAUAUACGGGUACAACUCUCGACCUCUCACAAAAUAAAGUAACGAGAGGUAGACCACCUAUCAAAUCGUUCUCGAAGGAAGCUAGCUCGAAACAACUCCCUUCCCGCGGUCCCUAGCCUCUCCCGGCAUGGAAGGCUCUGAAAAAUAUCGAGAAAAGAGGGCGUGAGAACUAUAAUUUAUAGUUUCCAGUGGGCAAUUACUGACCUCAGCUCAAGCUCCACUAGGCCCCCAAAGAGAAGGGUAAGUAACGACAAUACUAAUAAGCAAUAAAUAGCGAGUAUAAGAACUACUGAAAGAAAGUAUAAAUGAAAUGCUAUACUACUAUGUCUCAAGUAAGUAUGAUGUCAAAGUAUAGAACAUCUACUCUAUCAUGAUAAGUAUGUCAAAAGCAUGACUAUUAAGCUCCAAUCAUAACCGACAAGUAAGCAUCUCGAUGCAGUAUGUCAAUACAUAGGGAAUAAGCUCUAUUAAGCAACCAAGUAUACUACAAUGCAAUAAAUGAAACAAGCAAGUAUACCCAAUGUCCCAAAGCUAUGUCGUGAGCAUGUCAAAGUAAUCCAACUACUAAGUCUAUCUAGUAGUGAUCAUUCAUUCUCAACACCGUGUCGAUUUCCAUUUCCAAUUAAGAACCUACCAAAGGUAGUCCAGCUUGUACCGCGUAAAUGCCUGUGGUAGCACAACAUCCCUACUCUUGGAAUGUGUCUGUCCCACUCGACCCGGUAGGCUUCUCAAUACCGCACGAGCGAACAUAGGUCGCGUAGGCUAACUCCGGAGUGCCGACUUGUAGGGAGCGACCCUCACAAGCAUGUGCGAAUGAGCACAAAUGGCAAGCAAGUAUAGUCCAAGUCUCAAGUAUCCAAUCCUCAUGUCUCUAACAUGGUAUAGUCACUAGCAUCCCGAAUAUCUAAUUUAAGUCACAAUGUGAAGUUUCAACAUUUGCUACGCCUAGUGCCCCUUGAUGACACUUAGACAAUUUAAUGUUCAACAUGUUUCCAAUCCCUCAAUGGCCCUAUUCACUAGGUUCAACCAUUUCCCGAGCUCAAUGCCGCUUGAUGACAUUAGCCCUCUAAGUCACAUAAUAACCAAGUUCGGUGCCUCUAUAUGGCAAUUUUGUUAUCUUUCAUGUCUCAAUUAAACUUAAGUUUAAAUGCAUGUAUCAAGACUCCUUUACACAAUAGAAACAUGAAACGAAGUCUCAUAUAGAACGCUAAUACAACCCUAUGUCUCUGAAGCAACUCUCCACUACAUAGAGGUCCAAAAUUUCAUCACAUGUAACAUAGGCAUUUUAAGCGUUCUAAAAAUCAUAAUAAAUAUAUCUAACAUGGAAAUGCAUGAAUAAACAUUGAACGAAGCAUAAACCACGUGUUAUGAGAAUUUCUCAUACUAUAGGCUAGGUCAAACCCACCAAAAUCGAAGCCUUCGUUUCGCCGAACGGAGGUAUCCACUAGCUUCCUAGCACCCUAGGAACAUCAAAAAUGGUGUUACCCAAAUGAAACGAAGAGCAAAAAGCUUAAUCAUUAACCUAGAAGCAAAAGGGCCAAAACUCACCUCAAGAGAAGAAAUCUCUUCCAAAACUCCAAAAGAGAGCUAGAACCCUUCUAAUCCAAGCUCAAAGGAGGUUCUAAACCAAAGAAUCUAGCUCCAAAAGCCCUAGAUUCGAAAUGCCCCAAACAAACCCUAAGUUCACAAUCUAGGAUUUCAUCUAAGAAAAACUCUCAAAAACCAAAUCUAGAGAGAGAGAAGGGGUUACUAACCUCUUAGAAGCUUCAACCAAGGUUCAAAGUCCUCUAUCAACCAAGAUCUUCCCUCAACCAAGCCUCAAAUCCAAGCUUCAAGCUUCAUCCAUGGUGGAAAUGGCACCAAAGGGCAAAAGAGAGGAAAAAUCCAUCAAAAACCAUGCAAAAAUGGAGAUCAAAUCCAAAGAGAUGGUGUAGGGAGCUCCCUUACCUAGUUCUCCACUCUUCUCAGCUCAGGGGAGGGCCCUAGGGGCGUGGGUGCUGAUAUAAGAAGGCAACAAUGCAAAAACACCCCUGCAGAAUCACACAGCAUGAAAUCAGCCUCCUUGUACCGGUACACGGGCCCCUGUACCGGUACAAGACCCACGAAAAACCCAACCCGAGACUCGGGUUGCGGGGUUCAGCGGCACUGUACCGGUACAAGCCCGGUGGCUAUACCGGUACAACCAUUAACCUUGUACCGGUACAGCCAUCAGCCUGUACCGGUACACAGCCUCCAAGAAAGCAAUCCGAGAGUUAACCAAAAAUCUAUUUUUUUUUCGAAUUUUUGUACUAGGCUUUAAACCCCACUUCUCGGGAUACGAGCCAUAGGUCGGAACACUGUCAACGACCCACCAGAAAGUCUGGAAUUGCUCAGCACACAACCAACCACUCGAACCUCACAAUUUGCAAAGGUCCAGUAUGUUACAUUCACCCCUCCUAAAAAGGAGUUUCGUCCGCGAAACUCAAAAGCAAAGUACCUCAAGCAUCCAUCUGAAAAAGAUGGGGAUAGCGCUCCCUCAGUGCGCUCUCCAGCUCCCAAGUGGCCUCAUGCUCGUCGUGGUUGCUCCAAAGCACCUUUACAUAGGAGAUUUUCUGGUUCCGCAGUCUUUUCACCUCGCGAGCCAAAAUCCUCAACGGCUGCUCCUCGAAGCUCAAAUCAUCCCUCAGCUCCACAGGCGUAGCGUCCAACACGUGAGCCGGAUCAUGGGUGUACUUCCGAAGAACCGAUAUAUGGAAAAUGUUGUGUACACCCGAUAGGUUCGGCGGUAGAGCAAGUCUAUACGCUACCGGGCCUACACGCUCCAAAACCUCAUACGGUCCAAUGUAUCGGAGGCUCAACUUAUCCCAGAUUUCAAACCUUCUAAUCCCUCAAGUCGGCGAGACUUUCAAGAACACGUGGUCCCCAACCUGAAACUCCAAGUCUCGUCGACGCCGAUCAGUAUAACUCCUCUGCCUACUCUGGGCAAUCAACAGUCGCUCCCGAGCAAUGCGAACCUUGUCUUCUGCUUCCUGGAGCACAUCUGGGCCUAAAGCCAAUCUCUCGCCAACUUCACUCCAAUGAAGUGGCGAUCUACACUUUUGUCCAUAGAGUACCUCGAACGGUGCCAUCUUGAUGCUUACUUGAUAACUAUUGUUAUAAGCAAUCUCUGUCAUCGGUAGAUGCUGCAACCAUCCUCCCUGAAAGUCAAUCACGCAAGCUCAAAGCAUGUCCUCGACAGUCUGUAUAGUACGCUCCGACUACCCAUCACUUUGGGGAUGGAAAGCAGUGCUAAAGUCCAAGCGUGUACCCAGAGUAUCCUGUAAGCUCCUUCAAAAGUGGGAUACAAAACGGGGAUCUCGAUCUGACACUACAGAAGUAGGUACCCCAUACAAUCGCACAAUCUCAUCCAAAUAAACCUGUGCGAGUCUCUCACCAGUCCAAGUAGUGUGGAUAGGUAUGAAAUUUGCCGAUUUCGUCAAUCUAUCCACGAUCACCCAAAUAGCAUUAUGCCCGGCCUGUGAGCGGGACAAUCCCAUCACAAAGUCCAUGGUGAUCUUCUCUCACUUCCACACUGGAAUCGGUAGGCUCUGCAACUUUCCCGCAGGAACUCGGUGCUCAGCCUUCACCUGUUGGCAAGUUAGACAUCUAGCAACAAACUCACCAACAUCCUUUUUCAUCCCGGGCCACCAAUAAAGUAAUUUCAAAUCCUUGGACAUCUUGGUGCCUCCCGGAUGUAUNCGGCGGCGGCGGAGGAGGAAGAGGAAGAGGAAGAGGAAGAGGAAGAUGCCGCGGCGGAGGAGGAGGAAUCGGAGACGGCGGAGGAGGCGGAGUACUACUUUAGCGAUAAUGACGACGCGGCGGAGGAGACGGUGCUCGACGUCCUCGCGGACGGGGGCGAGGAGGAGUGCCACUGGUCCGUGUCAUCGGUCCGUGUUCGUCCCCGCCCCUCGAUUUCCCGUUCGCCGAUCUUGUUUUCGCCCUAAGUUUUCGAGUUUAAUUUGAUCCCUUUUGCCCGGGACCUGAUUUUGCCCUAAUUUUGAUCGCAGGUUAUCACCAAAGAGUCCCUUUUGGCCGCGCAGGUAACUUAAUGCAGCACUUUAUUGUACGAAUUGGUGUGUUUGGUGUGUGUCAUUAGGUUUAAAUUUGGUAAAUUUUGGUGUUCCUUUGGGUUUCCUGUAGAGGGAGGAUCUGAGGAAGGUGAUGGAGUUGCUUGCUCUUCGAGAGCAGCAUGCUCGGACGCUGUUGAUCCAUUACCGGUGGGACGUGGAACGGAUUUUUGAGUUGCUGGAAGUGAAGGGGAGAGAGAGGUUGUUCUUGGAGGCCGGAGUGUCCGCUAUCGAGAAUAAAGGUCGCGUCUUGUCAAGUUCGCCAUGCCCCAUCACUUGUAAUGUAUGCUUCGAUGAGGUUCCUCCUAGUAGGGUCAGUGAGAUGGACUGUGGCCAUUGCUUUUGCAAUGAAUGUAAGCCCUUUUCGCUGUUAAAAAUCAAACUUUUCCGAGACCUGCUGCAAGAAAUUCUCUCUCUCUCUCUGGAUAUCAAUUAAUUCCGCAUUAUAUGCUCAUUACUUAGCAUUUAGCUGUGAACCUAGUUUGAUUCGUGUUUGCCUGUUAAAUAAUCAGUUAUGGAAUGCUCUUACUGUCGACCUAAUGCCUAAUUUCACUUUCCUCCAAUUAAUGGGAAUCCUGUGGUUUGCUCGUUUCCGGUGUUACUAUAGUUUGUCAUUGUUACAAACAAUAGGUGGAACGAUUAAACAAAUAAUGGAGAUGGAUAACUUCUUAAAAAUGAAGGUGCAUAUGUCCCAUUGCAGUGUUGUAAGUGCGGCAAAAAUGUAAGAUCCUAUAGUUGGUUAAGCAGAAACAUACAAAGGAACUAAUAUGAAAAACUUAGAUGGCUUUUAAAACCUACGUAUAUUUAUUUAGGUAAUUAUAAUUGAACAAAGUUCCUUGCGAUAGUUCCAGCAAGUUAAUAUAAUUAAAUUAUCCUAAUUAGGCUAAAAUGUUCAUGUCAAGUGUUUUAAGCAGCUAUCCAUCUCUAUUUUGUGUUCAACUUGCAUUUUCUUGUACUACUUGGCAAAUGCAUGACUUGGCCUUGUACUGGUCAUGCGGACGUAGAUCACUAGCGGAUGCAAUCUAUGCAACCCAGAAAAUCAGCUGCCUGAAUAUGCUACUGCAUAUGCAAACUCGUGAACCUUCUUCUGAAUUCGUGAACCUUAUUCUUCAGAAGGAUGGUCGCUAGAGAAUUGAUGUUUGGAUUCUGCAACAUUCUGGAAACAUUAAUAUUUGUGCCUAUAACUCAGGCUGCAUUUUAUUUUGUAACUUUUGUUUGUAUUCUACCUUAUUGUAAUUUAUCUUGACCUUGGUUGGUCAUUCAAGUUUCAUAUUUUCCGUUGUUCUGAUGUAUGAUUAACCAGCCAUUUUAUUUCUCACAGGUGUUUCUAGUUGUAAACCUUUCUCAAGGCUUUCAUACAAACUGUAAUUUUUUUUGUUUUGCUAAACUUACACUUUCUGAUUUUAUUUAUUUAUUUUGGUGUUUUCUGGUUAUAUCUGAUUAGUUACUAAUUCAGUAAUGCAUCACUUUCUGCAGGUUGGACUGAACAUUUCAUCAUCAAGAUAAACGAUGGGCAAAGCCGUAGAAUUACAUGCAUGGCACCUAAGUGUAAUGCUGUUUGUGAUGAGGCAAUUGUUAGGUACUUGGUCAGUGCAAGGCAUCCAGAGAUUGCCGAUCGUUUUGACAGGUUUCUACUGGAAUCUUAUAUUGAAGACAAUAAUAAGGUUAAAUGGUGUCCAAGCGUGCCACAUUGUGGGAAUGCAAUACGUGUGAAAGGCGAUAUUUGUUGUGAGGUGGCAUGUGCCUGCGGAAUUCAGUUUUGUUUCAGCUGCUUAUCAGAAGCACAUUCACCUUGUUCGUGCUUGAUGUGGGAACUCUGGAUCAAGAAAUGUCAGGAUGAAUCGGAGACUGUCAAUUGGAUCACAGUAAACACCAAGCACUGCCCCAAGUGUCACAAGCCUGUUGAGAAGAAUGGUGGCUGCAACUUAGUCGCAUGUCUUUGUGGACAAGCAUUCUGGUACUAUAUGCAUUACAAUUAGUAUUUGCAAUAUCUAGUUUUUCUAGUUAUAUGCUUAAAAGAUCAGCUUGAUGUCUCUGUUUUCAUAACUGUGUGUUUGUUCUUUGUUGAAUAAUUAAUUGAUUGUAUGAUUUCCUGCUUUGGAUGGUCCUAGUUUCCAUUCUGAUUUUGUCAAUUAAUGUUCAAUUUCUUUCAGCAUUAUAAUGGUUAAUAACUUGGGAUAUACAUGUUUUAGGCGAUAGACAUUUUGGAGGUUGUUGUUGCAUCAUGUACUUCUUUAUCCAAAGUUUGUUUGAUUGGUCUUAUUUGCUAAUAUAGAAGAUGAAGUGCUUAGUAUCCAAUUGAUAGUGAGGUUUUCCAUGGACUAAACAAAUUGAAUACUUUAGCUUCCCAAUAUAUGAUUGUUCAAUGAUGCUUGGGAACCAAUUGAAGUAAGGUUUUUCGUGAACGUUAGAGUCUACACUGAACAUAUUGAACACUCUUUAACUUCCCAACUAAUGCUUGUUCAGUGAUGCUUAGGAACCAAUUGAAGUGAGGUUUUUCAUGAACAUUACAGUAUAUACUGAACAAAUCGAACACUUUUAACUCCCCAACUAAUGCUGGUUCAAAUGUCAUUUCUUGUGUGCAAUAAGAAAAUGUUUACUAUGCAUUUGUUGUCUUAUUUCUAAGACCACUAUCAUGAAUAAGAAAAGAGUCAUAAGGAAAGACAUGCACACGAGGAAGACUGCAAUAACUCUUAGAUGUAGUUGUAGUUGAUUCAAGGGAUGCAGGGGUUGCACGCAAGACAACUUAGUAUGUUAUUUGAUUCUUGAACGGGCUUUAGUGGGAAAGAAAUUUCAAAGAGGUUUGGAAGAUUUAAGAUUUCAACGAGUCAUGGGAAGGAAAUUUGGAACGAAAAUUACUGAUGCAUAUAUUUGCAGGCCUAUCCUGAAAAUGUGUGUGGAGUCUGAGAUUCAAAAUUUACUAUUGAUAUCAUACGCAUAUCAUUGCAUGUCUUUAAUUUCGAGAUACGUAGCCAGAAUGAGUCUGCCAGUAGUAUCGUGUAGUAGGGCAAAGAAACCAAGUCAAAGAGGCAUUGAAACCACUUAAAUUCCAGUGCAGGCACUGUUCAAAUAUUAUAAGGCCCCUCUAACUACAAAUAUGACAUCCCACAUUGGAUAGUGUGGGAGAGUGAUAGUCCUACAUCUAGGUAGCACAUCAGUACCAUAACUUGGGAUCAGCAUUUUGGACUAGUGGUUUGGACCCAACAGGCUGUCAAUACUAGUGGGCUGGGUCAUUACGGUAUAGAUUAUUCCGUUGUCUAGAAAUUGUGGAGAGGAUAUUAAUUAUGUUUAUAUAUAUGCAUAAACCUUCACUUUUGGAACAUGAUGAUGGUUUUGGUGCAGUUGGUUAUGUGGUGGUGCCACAGGACGAGACCAUACAUGGUCAAGUAUUUCUGGCCACAGCUGUGGGCGAUUCAAAGAGGACCAAGAAAAGCGAACCGAGCAAGCACGGCGGAACCUUUACCGCUACAUGCACUAUCACAAUCGAUACAAAGCGCACAUAGAUUCUCUUAAACAGGAAACUAAUCUCAAGGAAACCAUCCAGGGAAAGAUAUCCAUUUCCGAGAACAAGGAAUCUAAAAUCAAAGAUUACUCUUGGGUCACGAAUGGGCUGAAUAGGCUAUUCUGGUCGAGACGGGUCCUUGCAUAUUCCUAUCCAUUUGCUUUUUAUAUGUUUGGAGAUGAGCUAUUCAAGGACGAGAUGACACCUCAGGAGAGGGAAAUGAAGCAAAACCUUUUUGAGGAUCAGCAACAGCAGUUGGAAGCCAAUGUCGAGAGGCUAUCUAGUUAUUUAGAGAAAGAUUUUCAAGAUUUUUCUGACGAUCUGGUGAUGGACACAAUGAGUCGUGUUAUUAAUCUAUCCAAUGUUGUUGAUAGGCUCUGUAAGCAGAUGUAAGUCCGCCAAAUUAACUACUAGUUACUGGUUUCUAUUUUCUUUUCAUAAUUCCUGUAAGCUGAAUCUUCCUAAUGAUGGGAUGAUUCUCCCUGCACAGGUAUCAAUGCAUAGAGAAUGAUUUGCUGUAUCCUCUUCGCACGACUCAUAAUAUAGCUCCAUACAAAUCAAAGGGGCUCGAAAAGCCGUCAGAAGUCUCCAUUUGUUGGGAUUCGUGUCAAAGCUCAAGGAGUACGAGAACCUGCCAAGAAGACAGAUGCCCUACAUCAGAAUCGACUGCAAACGGAGUCGGUAUGACUGCUACCCGUAUCUCAUUGCACUAUCGACUAAUUAAUAAUUAAAUUACAAUCUACUCGAGAUAUUAAUUUAGGUAGGAUUUCUUUUAGUGUUAAUCACUUAACUCAAAAAAGCUUUCCUGAUAUCUUUCUUCCUGCAAUCCUACCCUUGCUUGUUAUCUUGAAUGAAAGUCACCGAGUUAUCCUGGUAUUCAGAGUGAGAACAAAUUUAAUUUUAUGCUUAAUUUGAGAUUAGGGAAUGACAUUGUUGUUGCUGGAUUAUUCUAGAAUUAUCCAGUUUGAUUGGAACUCUGAUUCACUCUCAAGAUUUGUGAUGUGUGGCAAGAUUAGGAUGAGUUAACUCCAGUUAUUUCACGAGUAUGCUAUAUUUCAAUAUUAUUGAAUAUAUGUAUUUGUGUAUCGCAGCUGAAAAAACUGUGCUGGGGAAGCGUUCUGAGGCUCAGCUGCAGGGAUCAUCGAGUUCGAAUAAUGGCGGAUAUUCAUCAUCUUCAUCAUCCUCAUCUCGCAAACGAGACAAGAUAGAUGCCCGCACAGGCCCCACCUUCGACCUCAACAUGCCGCCUUAACAAGGCGGUGGAUCCGCAUCACAUUGAACAUCAGAAUCACUUGGCAAUUGUACAGCUUUGACUUGAGCAGCUGCCGCAGCUACCGAGGAAUCAAUUAAACCUCCAUUUAAAACCUCUGCUACCUUUUUCAGUUUUUUCUUUUUCCUUUUUCCUUUUUUUUCUUUAAAGCCUGGUCAAAUACCAGGAAUAGGAAAUAUAAGAGUAUUUUAUUUCUUUCUUUUUUGUAUAUGAGAAACCUCCAGCGAAUGUUCAUAGGGUUCUGUAAAGCCUAUUCAGUAAAUUUUCGGCGGUGUGAAUCUUCUGGGGUUUCUGGAGGAUUUUAUCUGGAAAUUUUUGGGCGCCAUGAAUGAAUCUGACGAUAUGGCAAGGCGAUAUUUGUUUACCGGACGACUCGGAGCUAACAGUAUGAUAAUUAUGCUAAUAAAAACACUACUACUACACUGUCGAAUUGUAUUUGCUGCUGCUGCUUUUAUCGGAGUUUCAUACCUAUAUAUGUGUGCUUCUAUGGUUCAAGUACAGGUUGAAAUCUUAUAAAUUUUGAAGUUUGAUGAUCAUUUUGUAUCCUUUUUUUUUCCCAUGAGUUUCAAAGCUGAAAUAAAGUAUCUCGGAGGAUUAUUGGACCGGUUAGAGUACAUUAAUGAACUGUUCCAUUAAUCGAGUCAAUUAACUUUGCAACUCUGUCCAAAAUGUGUGCUCAUGUUAAUUCCUGGCCAAGUUAGGGGUGAGCUGAAAAUGACUUGCAGAAUCUUAUGUCUGUUUUGAAUAUGAUCCUUCUAUAUUUUCAAAACCUGUUAUUCCACCACAACUUGGCUUUUGAUGAGGCCCCCUUUGCAUUCUCUACUUUUUUAAAACAAAAACAAAAAAAAAUUGUACAAAUGAGCUUUAUGUUGAGGCAGAUUGCUUUUCAACAUUAAGCCAUCAACAAAUUCUGACAAAGAAGAGCAAGUUUCAAAUUUCAGACGAAAACAUGGAAAUUAUAUCCUACUAUGUGGAAUCCAGAUAGGGUGUUGUUUGGAAGCAUGAAUACCACCAUUAUUCCAAAUUAUUUUUGAUAAUAGGACUUUCGAAUCAACGAUUGUUUUUGUCAUACUUGAUCAAAAACAUUGUAAUAUAUGAAAAAUAAAUUUUACAAAUUUUCGAUAUUAUUUAAUUAAAAAUAUUCAAAUCAAAUAAACUCUUCCCCUCCCUCACCGGCAAGCUUUUCGGUGCGGAGAAGCACUUUCUCUUCGUCGCCAACGGCGAUGGUGAGGACGUGGGUUCCUAGAAGUGGGUUUGGCGAGUGAAAAAUCUGCUACAGUGGAGGUAAAGGGUGAAGGCGGAGGAAGAGGACGCGGUGCCACCCUCGUUGCGUCGUGGAAGAGGACGCAGUGCCACCCUCGUUACAUCGUGGAGGGCCGCAGGGACAAUGGAGGAGGGUCGGAGAUAAAAAAAAAAAAAAAAAAAAGGCCGGGUCGGAGGCGAGAAGGGUGAGGUGAGAGCAGGCGCGGGCGAGAGCGCAUUCGGCGGAGGCGAGGUGGGGCAGGGCAUCCAAGAGGGCNUAGCUCGAAUCCUUUGCAACUCCGAGUCGGAAGCUUGCUUUUCUUUAAUCCUUUCCAAAAGUGUAGGUUGCACCACCAAAGUCAUCAACCUCAAAGGUAUAUCAGGAGCCACUACCUCCAACUCAAACCGCUUCAUCUGCUCGAUCAGCGGCGGUUGAGUAACCAUAAGCAUCGCUAAGUUUUCCAUCGAUUUUCGACUUAGCGCAUCCGCCACCACGUUAGCCUUGCCUGGGUGGUAAAAAACAGUCAAGUCAUAAUCCUUGAGCAGCUCCAACCAUCUGCGCUGCCUUAAGUUCAACUCCUUUUGAGUGAAUAGAUACUUUAAGCUCUUGUGAUCUGUAUAUACUUCGCACCGCUCGCCGUAUAAAUAAUGGCGCCAUAACUUUACAGCAAAAACCACGACCGCCAACUCCAAGUCGUGGGUAGGAUAGUUUCUUUUAUAUUCCUUCAAUUGGCGAGAAGCAUACGCGAUCACUUUCCCGUCCUGCAUCAAAACACAGCCCAAUCUAUUAAAGAAAGCAUCACUAUAAAUCACAUACCCUGCUCCAGCAGUCGGCAAGGUAAGGAUCGGGGCGGUCGUCAACCUCUGCUUCAACUCUUGAAAGCUCCUUUCACACGCAUCAUUCCAAAUGAACUUAGUUCCUUUAUGCAUGAGCCUCGUGAGGGGAGUAGAUAACUUUGCAAAUCCCUCAACGAACCGUCGGUAGUAGCUGGCCAAACCAAUGAAGCUCCGUAUCUCGGUCACACUCGUCGGCCUCGGUCAAUCCUUGAUAGCUUCAAUUUUUCUUGGAUCCACAGCUAUCCCUGAUCCUGAAAUCAAAUGGCCUAAAAACGCCACCUCUCUAAGCUAAAACUCACACUUUUUCAACUUGGCAUAGAGCUUUUUUUUCCGAAGCACUUGAAGUACAAGUGUCAAGUGUUCCUCGUGAUCCGCAUCACUUCGGGAAUAGACCAAAAUAUCGUCGAUGAACACCACGACAAACCUGUCUAAAUAAGGCUUGAAAACACGGUUCAUUAAAUCCAUAAAAGCUGCCGAGGCAUUAGUAAGCCCAAACGGCAUAACGGUAAACUCAUAAUGUCCAUACCGUGUUCUAAAAGCCAUUUUCGACACAUCCUCAGGUUUGAUCUUCAACUGGUGAUAUCCCGAUUGCAAGUCAAUCUUAGAAUAUACACAAGAUCCCUGGAGCUGAUCAAAUAAAUCAUCAAUCCUCGAUAAUGGAUACUUAUUCUUGAUCGUGACUUUAUUAAGUUCACGAUAGUCCACGCAUAAGCGAAGUGAUCCAUCCUUUUUCUUCACAAAUAGGACCGGUGCUCCCCAAGAUGACACACUCGGUCUCACGAAACCCUUAUCCAGAAGAUCUUGCAACUGUGCCUUCAGCUCUUUCAAUUCCGCUGGGGCCAUCCUAUAGGGUGCCUUUGAGAUUGGAGUAGUCCCGGGAACGAGAUCUACCACAAACUCAAUCUCCCUGUCAGGUGGCAUGCCUGGAAGCUCCGCUGGGAACACAUCUCCAAAUUCCCGCACCACGGGGAUAUCCUCAAUCCUAGGGGCAUCAUCCUCACCCCGCAACACAAUAGUAGCCAAGUAGGCUACGCAGCCUCUACUAAUCAACUGCCGAGCUCGAGAAGAGCUAAUCGUCAUCGCAAAAAGCGAACUCUGGCAUUCUCGAUACACAACCUCCGCCUGCCCCGGCUCUCUAUACGUCACCGUUCGGUUCUUGCAAUCAAUGGUGGCAAAGUACUUGAUCAACCAAUCCAUGGCCAACACAACAUCAAAUUCUCCGAGUUUAUGCAAAGCUAGCAAGUACACGGGCAUAAUCCAAUCUCCAACCCGAACAGGGCAACUGGGCCAGAACUUUCGAAUAUCUAAGGAAUGAUCGGGUACAACAACUCGUCCCGGAUGCAACAAAGAUACAAGUGGGAUGCCAUGCAACUCGGCAAACAACCGGUCUUUGAAUGAAUGCGAUGCACCGCUAUCAAACAAUGCUCCAACUCGAAUAUCAUGAAGUAAAAUGAUACCUGCGACCACAUUCUCGACUGCCGCCGCCUCCUCAGUCUGGGCCGCGUACAUGCGCCCGCUCGGGGCCUGUCGUGACCCCUCCGCCUGCCGCUGAACUGGCGGUCGUCCUGCCUGGUGAUGCAUAGAAGAUGUCACCUGACUGGGACCUGGCGAUACUGGUGCAGAUGCCGAAGAUGGCGCUGGCGAGGGACCCCUCGGGCAGUCCAACUGGAAGUGGCCCUCCUCGCCACACAAGAAGCACCUGCUCCGGCUGCGUGAACACUGCCGCGGGUAAUGAGGACCGCCACAGAUCACGCAGCGGGGAGCCUGGCGACGAUCGGGUCCUCCUCGCUGAGUAGACGAGCCACGUCCUCGCGACUGGCUCCGGCUCCUGGGGUGCCUUGGCGGCCUCCGUGAGUGCGUCUGACUCGCACCCUCAGCCGCGGGCCUCUUUCCUUUCCUUUUCUCUGAGCUCUCGCGACGCUCCUGCAAAUCCGCCGCUCCUGCCUCCACUAUCAAUGCUCGAUCCACAACCUCCCGGUAGGUCUGAAGGUUGGAGGACUGUACCAACCGAAAGAUAGAAGGCCGUAAUCCGCGCUAAAAAAUACGGGCCUUGUCCUCAUCAUCCCUCACAACAAACGGUACAUAGUGAAGUAGCUGGGAGAACUCCCUCUCGUACUCGGCCACCGUCCGCUCGUCCUGUCGCAAGCUGCGCAGAUCCUACUCCAUCUUCCUCUUGACGCUGGUCGGAAAGUAGUGCGCUAGAAGAAGCUCCUUGAAUCGCGUCCAUGUGAUCGCUGUCAAGUCGGUGCUGGGGUUGUCUUGGAUAUCCAACCACCAACGAUAGGCCUCGCCGUCCAGAAAGUGAGUGGCGAGCCAAACUCUGUCCCGCUCCUCCACAAAGGUAUCUCGAAAAAGCUUCUCCAUGUGCAUCAACCACUUUUCAACAAUUCAGUGGUCGACGUUCUCGCCAUCAAACGUCCUCGGGCUGCACCUCCUGAACUCACUAAGGCGAUCCAUGAGCCGAUCCCGCUCGGCUCCCUCGGCCCUCAUGGGGAAAGCUGCCCCCGUGGCCGGUCCUGAACUGGGGGUGCCGCAACCACCUCCUCCCGAGGUGUGGUCGCCGGUGCCACGCUUGAAGAACUAGGCGCGGGGGACUGCGCCCUCGGUGCGACGUCCACCACGGGUGCUGGCGGUGUGGGAACCUGGGCCUCCCUCGAAGCUGCCGCCUGCUGAAGUAGGAGAUCCUCAAGAUGCUUCAUCCGCGCCUCCUACCGCUGAGCCACCUCAGCCUGUCGCUGCGCCGCUACCGUCUGCUGCGCCAACAGAUCAGUGAGGACCGCAAGUUGGGUCCUUAAGUCACGGACCUCACUAGAUCCGGAAGUAGCGGAGGUCUCGACCUCCUCGGGGUGUGCCGCAUCAUCCGCCCCGGCAGACUGGGAGCGUGUAACCNAGAGAAUAAAAAAAAAAAUGAGAGAAAAAAAGAGAGAGAGAGAGAGAAAUAAGAAUAUUUUUAUCAAUUUUUAAAAAAUCUGAUCCUAAUCUGAAAAAUUGAAAAAUAUGAUCCACUUUUAAAAACAAACUCAAAACUAGUAAUUUUUUUAUGCAAAUUAGCCUAAAAUUUAUCUUAAAAUUUAAAACUCAGAUGUCCUUAGUGCUCUUGAAAAGUUCAAUUGUGGCGCAUCUCUCUCUCUCUCUCUUUCUCUCUCUCUCUCUCCUUCAACUUUUCUCUCUCAUCAACAGCUCUUCUUCCCAAAAGCCCAAAAAGGUCCAAAACCCAAAAAAAAAAUAGUACUCUCUCUCUCUCUCUCUCUCUCUCUCUCUCUAUGUAGAGGAAGCAUUGGGAAAAGCGAGGACCCUAUGGUCUACUGGAUGCCGACUUCUGUCCAUGCAUUUCGAAGUCUGCGCCGAUUUCGACAGCUCAACCAUCUUUCUUCAACCUGCAGUUAGCUUCUCCAUCUUUCUUUCGACUGCAGGCCAGUGAGAAGUUCAAAACUUCGUACAGAAAAUUUCUGUACAAUUAUUAGAUUCUAUUCGAAGUAGAGUAAUGAGUGCACUAGAAUUUCCAUAAAAAAAUUUUUUAUUCUGUUAUUUAUUUAUAUAGAUAUGAAACUAAAACUUUCUAUUAUUAAUAUUUUUUUUUUUUGUAAUUGACUUAAAUCUAAAGCGAGCAAAAGUUAAUUACAGUAUUUUAAAAAUUUUAAAUUUCGACCGAAGAUAAAGAUAAAGUUAUAAUAACCCAAACAAUUUGCAUUUACGGUCGAAAACGUCUUUGUCUCUCCCCCCUUUAAUUUGGUUGUUCGGGUUAAAGAGAAGGAUUUCGUCAAAAUCAUGACUUGUUUAGUUGACCGAAUGUAUGGUUUGUAAAAGUGAAAUAUAAAAUUUACACUGACUGUCCCUAAAGCAAGUAGCAAAGAACUUAGUGGUUGGUACCCGGGGCCCAAGUUCGAUUGCUAGUUGAUUCACAUUUCCAGCUAAGUUUAUUUCUUAAUGAAAUAAACGAAGCGGAUAACAUGCUACAUAUCUCUAAAAAAAAGAAGAAAUAUAAAAUUUACAUGGUAAUAGUGGGAUGACAAAGUGAGGUAUAAUUAU